rnacentral:lncRNA from 1 species
CAGGCAUAUGUGAAGGUAAAGCCAUAUGGGAUAACAGUGGCAGAAUUCACUGACCGUAUAUCAAACCUGAGGAACGAACUCGGACAUGCGGGGCUGAAAGAUGAAGGGAUAGUGGUGAAGCCAAGUGAAGGUGCAGAAGGAAGAAUUUCAGGCAAUGUUCUUGCUGGUGACAAAGACUCGCUUUCAUUUGGUCGAACACCAGAGGAAAUUCUACGAAUUGUGUAUGGAAGUGGGAAUGAGAGUAAACCUGGUGGAUUUUACCCCAAAGGAGCUGAAGGUCGAAUAGCCCGGUCACAUCUUAGAUUGAACGAGGCAUAAUUGAAUUUCAAUUGAUGAUUAGAACUGCUGAGUCUAGUAGUUUUCGUAUGGUAUUGAUGAUCAAGUAGUUCUUUUUAGUUUAAAUUUGAAUGUAUUAGUAAUUUAUCUACAUCCCAAAUAAGUUUCUUUCCACUGUAAUUUCUAAGGAUAUAUUGUGAUAUUGAAUAAGAUUUGGCUUGUUCUUAGUGUUUUGGAUUACCAAAACUACUUCAAAAUAUUAUUCAAUGACGAUGCAUCUUAGGGUUGUCAAUCUAUAUUUAUGAGUAUCUAACAAUUGAGGCAUAAAGAUGACAAAAAUGCUAAAAAAGAAAAUUUUCCGUGUCUUCUUUUUAGUCAUCCUAAUGAUCAAAAGUAGGAAAAUAUAUGUCCAAAAGAUCAUUCUUCAUUCUUCAUUCUUUUUAUAAGAUGAUAGAAUAUAACAAAGAUUUUGAAAGUACAAGUCAAAGUGUUGCUAUUGAAAUUCAUUGUUCGUUUUGCACUUUCAUGAAGAGAAUAUUGUCUAAAGCUAAAUUUAACAGUUUCAAUUACUAUAAACAAUAAAUAGAUUAGGAAGUACAAAUUGACGAAAAGAAAAACUAUCAAUCAAGAACUGAACAUUUAAUGAAUUAACAAUUUCUGUUAACACAAUAACACUUGAAAAGAGUAAUACAAUGCUACCUAGAAAAUGAUCGGACUCAGAAGUAAGUUAUGAAGGUCGAAACAAAAAUUUAAAAAGAAGUAAAAAUUUAUGUAGUCAUAAGGAUUAAGGCCAAAAGCUAGAGGGAGGCUUUCCAAAAAAAAAAACUCUAGGGAGUGGAGGGAGGAUUAAAAUUUCGGAAGAGCAAAGAAAAGGGCCUUUGAUGUUUAAAAAAAAAGGCCCUUUGAUGUUUAAAAAAAAGGCCUUUGAUGUUUGGAUUGUAAAUUAUUUGAGAUAUUUUUACUGUAUCACUUUUUGUGAUGUGAUGUAUGUGAGAUAAAAAGGUAAUUGGGAAGAUAAAAAAGUGUGUUGAAAAUUGUAAUGAUAAUGUAAGCAAAUAAAUUUUGACAAAUAAUUUACAAUCCAAACGAAGCCGUGUAGGGUCUUGAUUCAAUAGUAUUUAUGCAAUCAGGAGAAAUCCAGUAUGAUUUGCUUGCGGGACCAAAUGGGGACAGUAAAAACUUACACAAAGUACUAUAUCCUAAGAAGUAUAAAGGCGGGAAUGGAGUUAGGAACAGUGGUUUUUGUCCCUCAUUGGCAUCUUGAGUGUGUGGGCUUUUUGAUCAUUUUACAGUGAUUUUCAAAGAGUGGAGCGGUGCCAUUGGAGACAUUUGUGGCUAGAAUUUGUUUGUGGACUGUAUACUGACCAUUAUAUCCUUAGGUACCAAUUUUACCCCCGAGUGACUAAUUGGUUAUCAAAGCCAAGGUUGGCUUUCUUGUCUGAUCGGCAUCGCCCAGCUUCUUGAAUUGUCUUCACAGAGCAAACUGUGUGCCGCGCUUUUUCCUAUGCGGUGGCUUCCUAUUGCGUGGUUUUGUCUGCUACGUUUCAUCAACUUUCCCUUUUCAUUAGGUACCAGUUUUGCCUAUCAAAUACUACAGAUUAGUGCAGAUGAUAUACCACCGAUGGCACAAAAGGUAAUAUUGCUACAGUAAAAAAUUUUCCCAGUCAAUUUUAUAACUUCAAUCAAUUGUCGAAAUAAAAUCUGUCACAGAAUCAACAACCAGAUGUGCUUUAUGUCAGCAGAAGACUUGGAAAAGAAAUCUACUGCCUCCAAGUGAGGAAAUGUACUCAUCCUCUCGGAAAUAAUAUAGUAACAAUGUACAACAUAACAGCAUGCCUACCAAGUACCAACUGAAGGAGCACUACUGCCAGUUCCAGCAAAUCAACAAGAACCCACCUGCACGCUACAACACCCCAGCCAAGUGACCAAAGACAAACUAAAUCAACUUUCGACCAUCACGAUCACAUUGUAGAGAUCAACUUUUGCGGUUUUGCCUAGCUAAUGUGUAUAGUAUGCACUUUAUGAUGCUUUUGUCAAACUUAAAGCCUUAUCUCCAUCCACUGUAUUUCUAACAGCUAGAAGAAUCCUUUUGCCGAGGCUAAUUAGCUCUUGCUAACUUUUGAUGGCCUACUGAGAAUACUUACUAAUGGCCAUAUAUAAAUUUAUCUCAUGUAUGAAUGUAAAAUAGAAAUAAUUAUAAGAACAUCCCUGAAAAUCUGGGCACCCUCGAGCCUCGCGCGAGGCCCAGGCCAACUAGUAUAUAUAUGAGCUCUAGUAUUAUAAGUGUUUCUUCGUAGGAACGUCCACAAAUUUGAUCAAUGACUUUUCGUGCUUUGUCAGCAGACAUAGAUAUAUGUUGACCUAAAGCAUAUACUUCUGUUUUUUUCUUUUUUAGCAUAAAGUUGCCUCCUAUUAUUUAUUAUAUUAAAUUAAUAGUAAUGAAUUCUCAUAAGCAUCAUUUUAUAUUUAAUAUUAACGAUGAGAUCUAUUAUCGCUUUUUGCAUGUCCUCGGAAAUUUAAAUUAGGUGCAAAUUCUCUCAAUUUGUGGCCUACCAUACAAUCUGUUAUAUAAAUAGGCAGAUGCAACGCAUCUUCAUAGACCAAGAACUACGAGAUCACCCCUUUCAUUCUGGGGUGACGGAGGGAUCGUAUCAUUCGAGCCGUUUUUUUUCAUGUCUUUCCGGGGGGUCUGGAGUAAUUCCUAUACUGGUGAAUCUUUAAAGUAAUUCCUAUAAAAAAAUAAAAAGUACGAAAGUUAUUGCAAAGGAUUUUAAAGAUUUAAUCUAUUAGUUUUUUUAUUCAACCCUUUAAUUAAAAUAACUUUUAACUAAAGGUCUUAUCCACACUCUUCUUAAAAAAGAGAAAUUUUUUAUUAAUCUAACUUUGACAAAUAGGUCGAUGGGGAAAUAAACCUCCCCAUCUUGGAAAUGAGAAAAAGAAAGGUAAACCUUUUACAAAGAUUUGUCAACAAAAUUUUGAUUUUUUUGGUCAAUAAAAAGUAUUAGAAUUUUUAGAAUAAUUCAGUAACCAAGAUCUUUUUCUGUCCGUGAAGAUCCCACCAGAGCGCCUUCUACUUCUAAUAGGCCAUGAACUAGAUCCGAAUUGUUCUCAACGAGUCCAUAAGAAGUGAUCCCAUUUUUUUCAUCGGGUCUGGGUAGAGACCAAAGAUCUUGGGUGAAGGACAAUGCUAUAGUAUCUAUAGUUAUGGUAACGAUAUUAGGGAAACCUGCUAUUAUAGGUUUCUAUUACCUUUAGUGACAGAUCAAAAUUUUUAGCGACUUUUUUAAAUAUUAUAUUAAAAUAAUUAAUAUUAACUUUAGUAAGUUUUUAAUUAAAACUAAUAAGUAUAUGCCUGAAAGAUAAGUUUCAGUCAGAAAUAGAAAUUUACAUUUGAGUAAUUUAAUUUACUUAUUAUUUGACAAAAUUUACUUUUUUUUUAAAAAAUUAAACUUACUAAUACUAAAAGUAAAAAAUUUACAUAUUUAAGUAAAAAAAUCACCGGUUUCUGAAAAUGGUUUUGGGUUAUCACAUCUCUCUAAAGUUGCUUGCCUUCUUUUUAUUUUCUUCUCACCUCACGAUAUGAUGGAAUAGAAAUUUUUUCCUGGCAAGAUUACGACAGUUCUGAUCGAGAAUCGUUGGACGGAUUCGAGAAUGAAGAUUCUGACUCCCACUGGAUGCUGUUUAAAGGCCUUUCUAGCAAGGUAUAGUUGCAAACAAAAUGAUUUGUGUUUUUGUUAUUCCACUGAAAAUUGAAUAUUCUUCUACAUAUUCAUUGUUCCUUUUUGUUUUUGUUUUGAUUUUAUCGUAGUUUUAGAUGACAAUGAAGGAGAGGCUUUUGCUGGUGAAUUGAAAAUUGUACCCUUCGUAUUUUGUGCAUCUUCUGUUCCUUCUUAUUUAAGUUUUAUACAUCUUCUGGCAAUGACUCCCACUGGAUGCCGUUUAAAGGCCCUUCUAGCAAGGUAUAGUUGCAAACAAAAUGAUGGUAGUAGUAUGUCGUCGUUUAUGUGAAAAGUGGUUAAUUUGGGAAUGCAUAUAAGGUGUUUGGUGAAAUGUCCAAAAGAAAUUUGUAUGAUAUGAUUGAUGCUUGUAUGGGGUUAGAAAGCACCGAACAACUUGAUUAAAACCACAGUUGACGAAUUUCGUACUAGGAAACAAAAAUGUCAAAUGCACUUCAUCAUUUAUUGGUAAGAAUUGAUACUUUAAUUUUACAAUAAGUUUGGUUAAACUAUAAAGGAGGUAAAUGUAAUUAAACCCCAAAAGUAUUAACCGCUCCUUCUUUUUAUUCUUUUAUUUUUUUAUUUUUUAAUAACUCAGUUUCAGUCUUGUGCUCUGCAACUUUUUGCUUGCAUGAUUUAGAUCAGAAAGAAUAAAUCCAAAUAAUCAAAUGUUAUGGAGUUCUCUUUACGUGGUGAUUACUUAUGAAGCUUAUUUACCAAUUGGAAAUGUUAUUUGCUCUUCUUGAAACUGCAGUUUCUAUGAUUUGAAGUGGUUUCAAUCUUUUCUCUGCCUGUACCUGUUCCAAAAUGGAAUGGUUUUUUAAAGUUAUGUUCUUGUAGUUAAAUCACAUGUCUUACAUAUUUUUAUUGCUUGAAUGGCUGUGCUGUAAUGCGUUUGUAAGAAUCCAUUUUGUACAUAAAGAAGCAAUGUUGUACAGGAUGAAGGCUUCAUCAAUUAAGCUUUGCCUUUGAUCAAUUUAAUAUCUAGUAUAUGUGUGAGAAUAAAUUAGUAUACAAUAAAUCAGAGCGUGAACUAUAUUUGGGAACUUUGGAAUUUCCCUGGUUUGAAAAACCAGCCAAACAAUGUAUUUCAAUUGAUCAUAAUUCCAAUUCCAUUCAACUGAAUGAUUUAUUGAAUUCAAAUCCACUAACCCAAAUAAAGUAAUUUAUUUGUCAAAUGCAACAAGCAUUUUAACUUCGAACCAUGCAGUGUUUUCAUUAGGCAUACAAAAGUUUGAUUUUAUGCAUAAUUUAAGAGGACAAGUUGAUUGCACUAAUUUGUUCGGUAAUUUCUAUUUCUUCAAGACUAAAAGAAAAAAUCAGAUGAUAAAACUAUUAAAUAAAUUAUUUAAACCUAUGGAUGCAUCCUUCAACUAUGAACCAACUAUGGCGUAUUAUAAGUUUUUAAUCAUUUUCAAUUUUUGAAAAGUUUGAAAGUUUGGAUAACAAUAACUACAAAUCUUCCUAGUUAUGUAUAGAAUAUUACUACUUGUUUAUAUAUCAAAAUUUUUAUAAUUUAACAUCUAUGAAUAUAAUAAGAUGAUAAAGUUUUAAUAAAUUUACAUCUGAGACACAAAAAAUAAUAAGAGUAAAAGCCUAAAAAAAAUGAGAAAUAAUAUAAUAAUAAAAAUGACAAAAUUAGUAUAACAAUUAAUAUAAGAAAAUCAGUAUGAUCUUGAUUUUUUUCCUUGGGAGAUUGUUCAUAAGAAUAGGAUCCAAUAAUUAUAAAUAAAAAUCACAUGCAUAUAUAAUCUAUUGUAUAAUUUAAAUUAAAUUUAGUUCACGUAUAAAAUGGCCCUAAAAUAAUUAGUACACAAUGAUACAAUGUUAUUUUAACAACAAAUUUUUUUUUACUAAAAGUCUGAAAUAUCCAUGACAUACGUAUGAGGGAUAUUUUACCAUAUUUGUAUCUCACAUCUAAUCAUGAAAGUUAAUUUGAGAAAAAAUAUUUUUGACAAUAGAAUUAUUUUGAAUUUAGUCAACAAGUUGAGAUUUUUUAAACAAUAAAAGUGAAAUAUUUUGGGAACUUGUUGUUUAUUUUCCCAUAAUUAAAAAUUGCUAUAUUUUAGCAAUUGUUACCAUUGACUUUUCAUUCUGUAGGCUAAUUUUUAUCAAUGCAAAAUUAGUUUUAUUAACAAUAAUUGAAGUUCCAUUGAUCCGAGGAUUGGCAUUUUAUUGCUAUUAUUUUAUAUGUAAAUAUUUAACCUAAGUAAUAAAAUAAAUAAUAGCUACUUAAAAAAAGAAAUUGAAAUGGAAUAGAAUUUAUUUAGUAUUUUAUUGCUAACAAUUUUGACCCCAUUUAAUGGUUAAAGAAAAAAUAAAAGAGAUGUAGAGAUUGGGAUUGGUUCCUUAGUGUGAAAAAGGAAAGUUCUUCUAAACUAACGUGCGUGAAAUUCUGGAUGCAUAUGAAAUUAGAAAUGUGAUAACUUUGCAAUUCAUUCUAAUUCAUGAUGAAUAAAUUGCGAUUCUAUAUAGAAUCGCAAUUUUUUUCGUUCAGCAUGAAAACAUUCUUAUUUUGUCAUAUUGAUGGCUUUUGCUUUUAGGAUUAUCUACAUGUCGGUGGUUAGUAUUAUUGACAAGGUUAGAGGUCAUGGAAAAUGUUACUAAUUUUAGGAGAAAUUAUGAAUUGUAAAAAUGGUUUAAUAAUUUUCUAUUAAGCAUAACUACUGCAUACAAAAGGAAAAGAUAUUUGAUUUGAUUUUGUUUUGAUUAGAAGAACUUGUACUAGUAAUAAAGGAAAUUUCAAUUCAACAAUCAACGUGCACAUGAUUACAAUAAUUUUUUAGUCAUUUAGACUAAUAUAUGUCAUAAAGUAGUCAGAUUUAGUCGUUUGUGAAUUCAUAAUUUUAAUAGUUUACAUAAAAUUCAUCUAUAAAAAAUUAUGAUUAUUAUAAAAUGACAUUUUAUAAUAAUUUAUAUACCAUAUGCCAAUAAAAAAAGAGUUUGAUAGACAAAUCCAUAAUGUAAAUGAUACAAAGUAUGUUUGAAAGUCACAGAACUUAACAUAUGUGUAAUUUUACUAUAAUUUUCAAAGAUUAUGCUAUGUCAAUACAACUUUAAUUUUUAUACUUGUGACCCAAAAGAUAAAUUUAUUAAGAUUUUACUAUUUUAUUAAAUUCAUAGGCAUUAAUAUAUGAAAAUUUGUGUACCAUUUUAUUAUAUUCAUAGGUGUCAAUAUAUCGAAAUUGUGAUGCAUAGAUAAGGGCAAUUCUAUAUAUAACUCGAAAUAUUUGUUGUUACUGUCAUCCAAACUUUCUAACCUUUAACAAAUUCAUAAAUAAUUCAAAAUUUAUAAUAGGACAAAUUAUUCUUACAGAUGUUAUAAGGUCAUAUGCAAAAAAAAAAAAAAAAAGUUUUCAUAAUAAAAAAAUCUUAGCACACUACUACAAAAAUGUCGUUUUACGACAUUUAAAAGCGUCAUUAUAGCUCGAUGUAAUGACGUUUGAUCUAUGAUGACGCUCUGCUAGAAACGUCGUCCAUUCCAGCGUCACUAUAGGUUUAUGACAGUUGUAUGAGUCCUAAUUUGUAGUUCUGUUGGCAUUUAUAAAUGUUAUUAUUUAUCGUUUUAAUGACACUUUUAAAUGACAAGAAAUGCUGGAGAACAGGUAAGGUUAUAUGAAUCUAAAGUGACACUCGAUGCCUGUCAUAUAUUGGAUCUAUCAUGACGCUUCUAUUAUGUAAGUACAAUAAGAUAUUAUGACACAUUUGCAGUAUAAGUAAAAUGAAAUAUUAUUACACUUUUAUGGUGUAAGUACAAUAAGAUAUUAUGACACAUUUGCAGUAUAAGUAAAAUGAAAUAUUAUGACACUUUUAUGGUGUAACUAGAUUAGGUUGUUCUGACACUUGUUAACAUGAAAAUUUGUGAAUAUUAUGAACUGCAAAACUCGAAGUGGUGACACUUUUUAGUGUCAAUACAUCAUAUUGCAUUAGCCCUGUGUACCAUCCGGAUUUUUAUACCCAAAAGCAGAAUCACAUUUCAUCCUGCCUGCACAAUAUAGAUUCUAAUUUUUGGAAUAAUAAAGUUAUUAGUACCAUCUUAUAAAGGAAAAUCAAGGUGAUUUACAUUUUCAUAGUAAUUAGUGCAAUACAAGCAGCCAAACUGGUGCAAAAGUACAUCAUCCAAGUAACUUACAUGGCUACUAUGUCAACAAAUUACAUGCCAAUUCAGAGAUUUUUCAAAAGUUAUGAGUAUUGCAGUAGUAUUGCCAAUACAUAUCAAAGAAGCAAUAGUUCAACAAGAACUCAACAAAAAACGCAUUGACAAUGUCUUCAAAAUAUAGCCAUUUGACCCAAGGAUCCUUUAGUUUUCUUCAAGAAUCACCUACAAGUGUCAUAAACCAAGAAAUAGGAGUUACAAUCACAUCUACAGCUCUUCUUUUACAGUUUUAAUGUUAGAAAAUAAAUAAAAAUUAAGUUAAACAAAUGAUAAAGAUAAGAUAAAAAGAUUACCAGGUUUAUUGGCCAAGCAAUAGCUACUCCAAUUGCAUCUCCAAUCUUGCGAAAAUUAUGGUAUGGCCUCAUUAGCUCUUCAUCAUUCUCCACAGGCACAUUCACAUGGAUUUCACACCAAUGUGAUCCCAAAGGUGUGUCACCAACUUCAGAAGUUGGAUCCAAAUUUCUAACCACUCCAACAGCACAAAUUUUGCUCGAAUCAACCAUGCUUCUUACUGUAACUUUAUCCCCAACCUUAAAAACAAAUUUUAUAAAACAUAUAACCACAUAUAAGAGAGCAAGUCUUGAAUAGAUAUUCAAUCACAAUACCACAAGAAUCAACCCAAAAUGACAGCCACAACAAAUACCAAAACCAAAGUGCAGUCCAUUACAAUCAAUAAUGAUAUCCAAAACAAGAAUCUCCACAAUUAACAUAAAGCAAUUACAAACAUGUUCAUGAAAACCAUUUGUGAACGCAACAUCUAAAAAAGGUCAUAAUGUGAAGAUGUAUGAUGCAAAUUCGAAGAUACCUCUCCAUGAGCUAACCAUUGAGUAUAUCCCUUAAUAAACCCUUUCCAUAUCAAGUGUGAUUUGGCCUGCUCUCUCGUGACAAAUACCCCAUUCCCGCACCUAAUGCAUGGGCAUAAAAUCAUCUCCCCUAUACUUCCAUUCGUAAAUGCAAAAUCAAGAAAAUCUUCUAAACCAGCUUUAUACUCAUCACUUGAUCGUGACAUACUCAUCCAUCUUUUAUCCAUGUUCACAUAGAUUCUAAUUAUAAAAAGAAAAAAAGCCUCAUUAGCAUCUACAAGAGAAUUCUACCUAAACUAUUACUGAUUUUUGCAUGAAACAUUUACUUAGAUAAGAAAACUAAUUUCAACAGGAUUAAUAGAAGACACAAAUCACUCAUGGAAUAUCUUCUAAAGUAAAGCUACCAAAAGUAUCAAAACUAUGUUGUAAGAACUAAUCCAAGUGUUCUAGGCAGUUCAAAACAGAAUGUUCACAUAUCCAGGUGUUCUAGACUUUUGAGUAAUAAGAACUAAUCCAAAAGUAUCAAAACAGAAUAUGAUAUCAAAAGGAAAGAUAGCAAAAGUUCAAUUUCAGAUUGUAAGACACAAACUAUCGAACAGAUGGUAGGCACAAAAGAAUAACAGUCUACGGAAUUCAAAAUUAGUCCAAUAAUAUAGCCAAUAUCAAUUUGAGAUAGAGAACUUGGACAACAUAUUAGCAACCCAACUAAUCAGCAAUAGAAUUUCUAUACAAUUGAAAUAAUUGCCUCGAACUAUAAUGUAUUGGCAACCUAAGAGUAGCAGAAACAUAAUGUAUAUUUUUGGUUACCAACAACUCCAAUUUGCUCCAAGUGGAAAGGGAAUCAACGAUCAGUGCUCGCUAGAUGGAAUCGAAGAUGAUGGCCGCUACAAACUUGAAACUGCAUUGAUGGAAUAAGCUUGACUUAGUCACCACUUGAUAUAUGCUAUGUAUGUAAGAUGCACUUUGCAUUAGAAUCCUAUGGGCAGAGCAUUCUAUAUCAAGUUCAAUACCAAUGAUGCAAAUGUUAGUGGUAGGAAGUUCUAAGCCAAUUUACCUACUUCAAUUUUGGUCAAGUUUUGCAGCAAAGGCAGAAGAUAUUUAAAGAGAACACCUAAUUGCUAACCAUUUUAGGAAAUCCUGGAGCUCCCAAAGAAGAAAAAUGGGGUGACAAGGCUGGAGUCAAGCUCACGCAAAAGGGUCAAGUAAAAAGUCCUAUUCUAGUUAUUGCAAAGAAACUAGUACUGGAAGGCACAUGAGGUACUAGCCAACUGUUAAGUUGUCGGAUGGCCUAUGGGCAGCUAUUCCUAAUAGAUAUUGGCGUCUCAAAAGUUGGAGAAAGACCAACUGCAUUAUGGGUCAACAACUAUGCAGUCCAAGAAAUUUUCAAGCUACUUCAAUAACAGAAAUUUUCAAGCUACUUCAAUAACAGAACAAGAUACAAAUCAGGAUCAAUGAACUAGUAAAAUGAAUUCAGGUCCUACCUACAAAUCCUAGCGUAAAAGCAUUCUGGGUAAUUUGAUAACCAUUCAGACAAUGAACUAGUGCAAAGAUGACUAAAAAGCCACUCUUCUUCACAAUAAACUCAAUUACAGCAAGAAUUCUUGUAGCCAGAAGAGAAGGCACAUAUUUGUAAAGAAAGUGAAAUUUGAAAAUGCACCAUAAAAUAAAUAGAACCAGAAAAUUCAGCAAGAAGACAGUAAAUGCAGUAAAAAGAAACCCAAAAAGAAAGUAAUAAAAAAAAUUUCAAGCGAUCAUCUAAGUUUUUCCUUGCCAGAACUCCUCUUGGCUGCCGCCUUAACCUUCUCGAUAUACCCUUCAAUAGGAGGUGAAAAUUGGCCAUAAAUCAAUUCGCCGGAAAGGGUGUCAAAUUGGGGACCAAAGCAGCAGCCUUCAGACCCUCGGGUAAUGCCUCAAUAGCUUCUUUCUUACACCUCAAGAAUGCAGACUCAGCAGCCUGUCUAGCUCUAUGCUUCCUCAUCAGAACCCUGCUAUACUCCUUGGCAAGCCCAGCGUAAUCAGAACCCUGCUAUACUCAUCAACCAAGUGUAAUCAUUACCUUACUUUUCAGCCCCAUCUUUUCUCUCUCAGCUUCCCUAGCUUUUUCCUUAUGCUUCAAGAAUCUGAUUGGGGAAGUCAAAGCCAAGCACUCGUCGACCAAUUCAUCAAAUUCAGAUUUUUUUCUAGGCCCACCUUCUUUUUGAUUCGAAUCACCCGACCCAGUUCCUUUAUUGGUUGUUACCUUCGAUCUCUUCAAUGGCUGUGAUCCUUUGAUUUUAGAUUUCCCUUUUGCAGUUCCGCUGACUAAGCAUCUUUGUAGAGAUUGAUAACUCAAAAACUCCAAACAAGCGUAUGAUGAGCCUAAAGAUCUCAUUUUUCUAGCCUCAGCUAUUCGCACCAUUCUUUUGCAGUUACAAAAGGUCCAAUUUUCUGGGUCUAACGGCGGCGAAGGGAAUGAGGAACGGCAAUUUUGUUACCAGAGUCGAGGUUCUCUGAGGCAGCCGAAGAGUGGCAGAGGAAUGAAUCCAAUUAAAAUUUUAGUUAUAGGGGGCAAAAAGAGUAGCACCCAAAAUGAAUGUCGAGUUGGGUGAUAAUUUUUAGCAAGGCACCGCCUGGGCUACCCUCUGUCACCCAUCUUGCUCCUGCCCCAUGUCCCACGCCGUCUCCGGAGAAGAAAUAGAGUAAUAAAAAAAAGUUAUUAAUUUUGUCUAAAAUGUAUAGGUUACCUGGUAGUAAUCUUCCUUCAGAUGUUGUUGUAAGUAGAAGAACAAGUCCUGAGAGUUGUUGGCGAUUUCCAAUGAACACCGUCCUCCACCGUUGCACUUCGGGCUGACAGAUCUCAAAUAUUACAUUUUUGUCUUCAAAUUGGGGAGAAUUAAAAAUCGGAUAGAAGAAAGGGAAAGAAACAAGGGAUUCGGUUGUUAGAGGGGUGAAGGAUUUUGGCAUUUUUCAGAGAGAGUUAAUGUGAUUGAAGAUUUUAGGAGAGAGAACUCGGAUGAACAAAGAGUAAAGUUCAGUGGGUUCAUUGGAGUUGUUAGAUUUUUUCCCCCAAAAAAAUGGCGCUGAAGUGUAGCGCCAUUCUCUUUCCCGCAUUUGUUUUUCACUUUUUACUUCUAUUUGGACGAAUUAGAGUGAUACGACGUCGUACUCGUCAUUUUCUUUGUCACUGUAAUGACGUUCCCUACUGCAUGUUACAUUAACUCUCUGUUGUGACACUUUUAAGAAAAUGUCAUAUUAAGUGUGUGACUAGAGAUCAUUUUUGUAGUAGUGGCAUUAUUUCAAAUAAACUUCCUAAUACUUGUUUCAUAUAAGUUUCUUUAAGUAAAAUAGUAAAUUUAUGCCACAAACUAGUAAGUUUUGAUGAUUAACCAAAUUUACUAUUCUAUGAACAAUAUUUACUGUUAAUCUAUAAAAACUUACUAUUACUUGAACUAAACUUACUCUCCAAAAACUAAGUUUUAGAUAUAGAGUAGUAAUUUACCUCAAAAAAAAAGUAAGUUCCAUAUUUAUUCAAAUUUACUUUUUGAGACAUAAAAGUUACUAAUUUAUUGAGUUAACUUACUAUUUUUAAUGUAAAACUUACUAACCAAAAUUUUAGGUACUAUUUUAUUUAGAUGACCAGUACAACAGGUAAUCAAAUGGUCGCUAAAAGUGUUUUUACCUGUUAUAUCAAGUAAAAACAGUUUCGUUACUAUAACGAUCAUUACUUCAGACUUUUCCUAUAUAUAUAGUUUAAACUUACACAAACUACUUGAAUAUAGAAAAGGAUAAUGUACCCAUGAUUUUCAAAAUGCUAAGAAAGCGGCAGGACCAAAAGGGCUUUUCCACCAAAUGCAGUGUUUGCUCUUUAAAGUGCUUUCUGCAAAUCAAUUCAUGACAAAUAAAUGACAAUAUAACACUUUGAGACGAAUAUCCUGAGAGAUUUCGGAAAAUUAAGAACAAAAUAUGUAACUGACAGACAAUUAAAUAUGCCAUGGUAGCUGUACGCGAAGUACUAAAUAUUUGCUUCAAAGACCAAAUUUAGCUGUGGUCAGAAUAAUAACCUAAAUCCCAAUUGAACUCUAAAACAUUUAUUUUUUUGGCAAGCUCUUUAGUCCGGAGAUGUCAGCCCCAAAUUUAUUAAAUAUUAAAAUUAAAAAUAUACGAGGGGACUAUAAAAUCAAAAAGUUUCUUUAAUUGAACUCUAAAAUCUUUUACUUUCAAAUUUUUAAAAUAAGGUCUGCAAUCUUCUUUAAGUCAGAAAAAAGAAUCGAGCAAGCUUUGGUAAGAACAAGAACCAAAUGUUAGGUAAUAUAAAAUCCCCAAUUUAACUCGAAAACAUUUUUUAUAUUUUUUUAUACGAAUUAUAGGGAAGAAAAAAAAGAAAUCGUGCAAGAAGAUUCUAAAUCUCCUUAUAUCUUGAUAUAUUAAAUGAAAUAAUUUAUCUUUUUCAGUCCAAGUGUAUGAUGCCAUUUGUGCACCCUAUCAGGUGUGCUGGUCUUGGAGGCAGGCUUUUGCAUACCAUUCGUGUGUUUGCCUCCAUGCAUAAAAGAAAAUUUGUUGUUAGUCUAACGUCCCUCAAGAAAAAGUCAGAGAUUCCAGUAUAAUCAAAAAGCGUAUAGACUUCAUUAACUUCAUUUCACUGAAUUGCCAUCUUGACACCUUAAAUAACCUUUGAGUAUUUUAUUAUUUAAAGUUUGGAAAAUCAGAAAAAAGUAUUAUACAUUUAAGUUUUAUACUUUUCUAGCCCCUCGCUUUCAAAAUGAUGCAUUUUCGUCCUCUUUACAUGAGGUUUUGUACUGAUAGUCCAGCACAUUUCAGAUUGUUUAGUUUCGGCCCCCACAUAUGAAAAAAGUGCACCGUUUUCAUCCCAAGGUUCAUUCUUUGUCACAUUUUCACGUCAAAUUCUAAUUUUGUCAUAAACCAAACCAAACUCAAAACAUAAUCCUUUUUUUUCCUUGAGGUACCAAAGCUCAUGCUUUGAAUUUUACGAUAACAUUAUGAAAAACUGAGAGCUUUUGACCUCAACUAAUAUCUUUUCUAGAUACCUAAAGUAGGUAAAAUUUAAUUUAGCUGCGUUUUUAGGAUACAAUAAAUGGUUUUUUUCAUUAUAGUGCAUUUUUGGUGAACUUAAAGAGUUGUGUAAACAAUUUUAGAUUUUUUUGAAUCUUAUCAAAAAUUUCAUCCAAAUUUGUACCAAUCUCAUUGAGAUAGUUUUAUCUAGUUUGCCUUCAAAUUGUACAAUAGUAAUUUUAAUCAAUAUUUUAUGAAAUUUACAAAUAUAAUAAUCACAAUAUUUUGGCAAAUUUGUUUAGCUAUUUCUAGUGAAAAUUUGAUUGAAAAUAAAAUUUGGGACAAAAAUUGUGUGUUUUUGAAUAUGUGAGGGACCAAACUCAUCAUUUUAAAAGUGAGGGAGUAAACAAAAAUUAACCUCAAAUGGAGGGGAUCAAAAUGUAUCAAAAUACAAGGGACUAUUUUUGCGAUUUUCCCUUAAACCUUCAUCUUAUUUCUGCUUUUUUUUCACAUUUUUCCAUAAAUACUUUAGUCCCAUCAAUAGGUUUGAAAAAAAAUUAACAAAUGAAUACAAGUCAGAAAAACGAAAUUAGUUCUUAGACCAGAUUAGGACUUGUUACAAUUAUAAUGCUCUCAGGCCCAUAUGAAGCCGCAUCGAGCAGAAAAUUAUAUAUGCUCCAUUUGUUUUUGCGCUGUUUUUUUUUUUGCACAAAAAAGUACUUUUAGGAGUUAAAAAUACUUUUAAUGCGUUUGGUGAAUCACUUCAUAAAAUUAAGGGUAGAUAUUUUGGUGUUAAAAGCACUUUUAGCAAAAUCUCAAAUUUGGUACUUUUAGAAUAGCUUUUGUGAUUUAAAAAAUAAAAUAUUAAAUAUAAUCAUUUUAUCCUAUAUUAUAAACUAAAUAAAGAGAUAAGUACAUUUUAAAAUUUUCAAAUCACACAUUAUCUAAUACAAUAAGUACUUAUUGAACUAUAUCUUCAAAGCACUUACGCAAUCAAUAAGUACUUUUAUUAAAAACUCUAUUGAAAAAGUAUUUUUUAAUAAACUACUGUAAUCCCAAGCCGACCCAUAAUAUGUAGAAUUGCAUAGACAACUCCUAAUAUGGAUGAAGUUUAAUUUACUUUCCAAAUUUCUACUUUUAAAACUUUCUAAAUUCCUUUUCUUUGACUUUAUAUCUGAAUUUCAUUCUAGUUGGUCUUUGGUUGAAAUGAUUUUAUAUCUGAAUUUCAUUCUAGUUGGUCUUUGGUUGAAAGAAAUAGUCAGGGCGUUAUCAAAAGAAGAUUGUGAGCUAUUUGCUAUCCUUUGUCAUGCCAUUUGGUCAAAUCAUAAUGCAGCACUUUUGAAAGGUAAGCUUCAUGAUCCUCUGAUGAGCUUCGCAACUAAUUAUCGUCAAAGCCUAUUGUGCAGCUAACCUUAAUGAUAGUAACUCCUACCCUCAAAGUGUUGUUCAAACAUGGUUAGUCCCCCCCCCCCCCCCCCUCCUCUCUCUUCAAUCACAGUCAAGCAAAUUUUGAUGGUUCUACUUCAGUGCAUAAGCAGCCUUUUGGGAUUAGUAUGGUUAUUCGCAAUCAUGAGGGACAGUUUGUUGCAGGGUCAUCCAAACGUUUUGAUGGUCUGGUGAUAGUUGAGAUAGGUGAGGCGAUAGCAGCUCGUGAAGGGUUUCCAAUUGAUUUCAUAAAAAUUUAAGGAUUCCAAUUGUAUCCUGAACGGUGAUGCAUUUAAUGUUAUUAACCUCUUGCAUGAUGAAGAAGAGGUGUUGUCAACUAGUGGUCCUAUAAUUGAAAAUAUCUGACUAUCCAUGCUAGAAGCAUAUAUUAUUGAUGUAAAAUGGGUUUCCAACAUGAUUUAGUUUUUCGUGCUAAAAUUUCUAAUAUUAUGGAAUCCCUAUGGAAUUCUCCAUCCAACUUUGUUAAGCAAUUCAUACCAGAUGAAUUUCAGUAAUUUAGUUAAUAAUAUUUUCUCUUUUAUUGAAAAAAGAAUUUCAUUUUCGUUGGUGAGGUAUUACUUGAUCAUUACCAAAGAGAAGACUUAAAGUAUUAAUCUUGGCUGUUAACUCAAAAUAAAUUAAUGACUCCGCGUUCUAGAAUGCGGGUAAUCCAUCUGAUUUUUAUUUUCAAGAUAAUGGCCCAUCUCAAUUGAGGAGUUGCAUCAUAGACAUCCUUCCGCAUGGGCAUUCCCAAAAUCCAGUUGAAUAGGCCACCAAAGUCCAGUUCAAUUUUAGCUACUUCAAAGAUGACUUGAGGCUUUUGAAUAAGGAAUCUUUCAACUCUUAAUUUUGUAUUCAUCGAACUUGGGCAGCAAGUUAACACCAAAGUCCUGGUGAACAGGUCUUGGAAACUUGUUAGUAGUCAUUUUUCACAUACACUGUGAUGGUGAAGUAUUUGAAAAACAUCUCUAAAAACAUUUAUACGCAGCCAUAGUUUUACAGCAUCUAAGCUUGACAACUUCCAAAAUUUUUUAAUGGGAAGUCAUAAGACAAUUUACCUUUCGACUUGUAGCCAUCUUCCACUAGCAUCGGUGGGAACUAAAGCUUCAAGGCUUUGGAACUUCACAGGCACUGCUAAAAUCCACCAUUUCUAAAAUGAAUUUACUGGACGUACUUCGAGUUCGAGAACUACUCAUGCAUUCCAGCAAUUUCAAAAGCCAAAUUAGGAAGCAAUGCAAUUUGGCAAUUCUUGGAGGUUGAAACUUCUAAUGGAGAAAUACAGUUUUAAUUCUCAAUAGUUGGCACUUGUACAAUUUUGGUGUUUAAAGUUAUGACAAAAUCAAAUCUAGUCCCAAUGUCUGGUACCUAGUACAAUUUUAGUCCUUAAAGUUUCGGCAAAAAAUAAAUUGGGUCCCCAAUUUUACCAACUUGAAGCAAAUUUAGGAUAGUUGAUAGAUUUUCCCAAAUAUUGAUGGAAUCAAUCACAUCCAGUCGCAUAUUUGUUGAAUUAAACUUCUUAAAAAAGAAGCAAAAUGGCGAAUAAUCUUAAACAAUAAAAAUAACUCACAUGAUGGCAUGCUUAGUAACUAAUUAAUCAAGAAAUAGAAAAUUAAAGGAAAUUUGUUAAUCUAUACGAAAAAAUUAAAUAUUUUGAAUUUUUUCUAGGGGGCUACGGGAUAGAGAGUGAAAAUUAGGAUAGAGAUUGAUGAACUGGGCUAUACAACUAGUUUUAGUUUUUUAGUUUAAAAAUUUUUCUUCUUUUUACGAGUUAAUUAUUUAGCACAUGAGUUGUUGGUUCUUAAUUUUGUUGUUUAAAGUUAGUUACUAUUUUGCUCCUUUAUUUUGAAAUUUAAUUUAAUGAACACAUGCCUAGAUGUGACUUGAUUUUGUUAGUAAUUACAAAAUAUUCUUCAAAUGUUCUAAAUUUGUUUGAAAUUGGAUACAUUAGCAACUAGAUUUGUUCCUGUCAAAACUUUAGGAUAAAUCUACACGUAUGCUAAACAUCGAGGACCUGAAUUAUUUUUGCCAAAACUUUAAGGACUGAAAAUGUAUAUGAACUAUACCUUAAGGACUAAAACUGCAUUUUUCUCAACUUCUAAAAUACUUCCUUAAUCCGUCAUGAAGAAAUGAGGUGUGUAAGAAUUUUUUGUCAUCUUUUAAGAGUUGUUACCAUAUUUGCCAAAAAGAUGUCCCCAAGUCCUUUAACUGCCACUCUACGAGUAAAAAAACUUAAGAUAGGGAAAUUCUACAAUGUGGUAUACCACAUAGUGGUACACCAUAUUAUAGAAACAAGAGUGUGACAAAAAAAAAUGAAAAAACCCAUGAGAUACCACAAAUGUGGUAUACCACAAGGUAGAUGAUCCCACAAAUGUGGUAUACCAUAGGGUAGAUAUGGAUUCAUUGGAGGAAAUAGACAAUUCUGGAAAUCACUUCCAAGCAACCUGGGAGUUCCUGAAUUUCAGCAAAGACCAAAACCAACUUUAACGUAUUGCGCUUGCUAAAAGUUGCAACUUCCGCCCGAGUUGUUACCAUUCAGUGAUGUGCUUUAGACUUUCAAAUUAGAAAAUCCUAAUUAUUAAAUUAAUUAAACUCAAUUGUCUUGAUUUUUUGCAAGUAUAAGGGUCAAGACGAGUCCAGGAAUAAUUAGGGUCGAUCCCACAAGGAAUCAGGUAAUUACUAUGGAUUUUUAAGUCACUCUAUUAUCUAAACAACUAAGAAUACAUGAAAAAAUAAUAUUAUAAACUAGAUAAGACAAGAAAAUAAAUUUGGAAAGUUUAGUAGAAAAACUUCCUAAGGCUUACAAAUCCAUUGUCGUCAACAUUAAGAUACAAUCCGGUUGAUUUAUGCUUUUUACUUAUGACUUGUCAAGGAUAUACUUCCAAUUUUGUUCAAAUAAUGCGUUCGCCAUUAUCCAAACAUACUAAUAUCAAACUUUCAUCUAUUUGCAUGAUGAAUUAACUUAGCACAAGUUCAUCAAAAUUUAUAAAGUAGCCAAAUUAAAUCCACCUAAACACAUCUCUUACUUUCAUGAACAUGAUCUUUAGAGUUCAUGAAUCUUGUUCUACACUUGCAUAGAAAUAUUUAAUGCACAAUAAAUAAUAGGAUGUUUCACAGUUGGUGAUCAAGCAACUGCAAAUAUAAAGUAUAGAUACAUGGACUAACAAAAUCGCAAAACAGCACAAGUCAAUCAAAAAUUACUUCAUAUCAUGAUGCAAAUAAGUUCAACUUCACUCUAGAAGAAAAUAGCUUAGUUAGACAUAACAUUAGGUAUGUUUAAGCAUAAUGUACUCAUGAAACAAGGCAUCACUGGUAACAAGAAUUUAAAGAUCAAAUGACGAAAAAUUCUUAUUCAAAAUAUUGCAUUAAGCUCCACAACUUUCCUCUUACAACUUUUGCUUCAAUCUACUGAACUCACAAGUUUUUCUUCUACCUAAGACUCUCCAUAGUUUGUCCCUACUUAACUCAAAUGAAAAACACAACCUCUAUCUAUAAAGAGUUCUCCAAGUCUCUUUGUGUCUUCUCUAAUGCGAUCUCUUGACAAAAGUAACAUCCAAAAGUCAAGAUUUGUAGUUCCAAUAGAAUCAGUAAGAUUUGAGAUGACAAAAUGCUUUCUUGAAGUCGUUUGAGAUUGUUGUUCUAGCUACCAAAAUGUCCCAUCAUCUUUUCCAUCCAAAACAAGAAAGCAUAUGCCAAAAGGAAUAGUUAUGCAACUUGCAAAAGACACUUUUCAGCUGGGAGAAACCACAUGAGAAACCAUUUCUACUUCAAAGGUUUCAAGGCCAAUUUCUUGCAAAGUUUCUAAAGCAAAAGAGUGAAACCAAUCUACCAAGAAUCCCCACCAGAAACCGGCUCGACUUCUGGGGUUUCUCUCCCCUAUCUCAUGGCCAUUUUUAUCUCUUGAAAACUUCUUGCUUUCUUCAUUUAUCUUGGCACACAACCUUCCUUCGAAUCUUUCACCUCUUUUCCUACAAAAUCAACCACUUUAAUUAGUAAAAAUAUGCAAAAGUUUUAAGAUUUGAUCAAGAAUGCUUAAACAUCAACUUUUAGGAUAAUCUCAACUUCCAUUCUUGAUUUUCAUCAAAAAGUGAUUAAAACCUUUUAAAGAGCCACAAAUAUAGUGCACAAUAAGCACUUAUUAGACUCCCCACACUUUAAAUUAUUGGUUAUCCUCAAGUAAUAAGAAAUACAAUCCAAAACAAUGAUUCGAAAGUUUGAUAUAACACAUGUGCAUAUUCAAAAUUCAAUUCCUCAAAACCAAGCAAACAACCAAUAUACAAUUAUUCAUUUCUUCUUACGUACUCAUAAUAUCAAGCAAAGGAGAGGUGAUUAUACUAUAAUUUAAACAUAUCAACUUACUUUCUUAUCCUCAUCCAAUUUCACAAUCAAGUAACUCAUAAGGUCAAUAAAAAUAUUCCUAAAACCUGUGACCAUCUUUGCAAUUUUUCCAAGUCUUAUUGUAGACACCAAAAUUUUGAUUUGAUUUUAGUUUAUUUUAUUUUAUUUUAAUUUUUAUUUAACCAAAGUUCGCAAAAUGAUAGUUAGCUAUUUUUAUUGAAUUAGGUUCAUCAUUUUUUAAACAUUUUUUUUGCAUUAAAUUUUUGAAAAAAUAAAAAAAAUUUUAAUCUUUUCAAAUUCAUUUUUUUUCAAAAUAAAAUGAAAAUUUGCAAGGCAAAUCUCAAAAAGGAAUUUAACACUUUUGUUUACUCUAAGUGGAUUGAGUAAAUUAAUAUUAGCCAUGUGUUUUUAUUUUUUUGCACACCACAACACUUGCAAGAGAUUAGGUAGCAAGGACACCUGUUGGAGUUUUGGAGGAAAAAUCUGGAAAAAAGAAGAAACCAGAGGGAGCUUCGGGCACAAGAAAGAAAGGAAGAAAGGAAGAGAAAAUGGAGAAAAUAGAGGAGAGAAACAAGAAAAAGAGAGGAGGGGGAGAGGGAAUCUGGGGAUAAUCAGAGGGGCGGCGGACCAAAGAAAAGGGAGGAAAAAAGAGAGAAAAAGAAAAGAGAGAGAGAAAGGGAAAAGAAGAAAAAAAACGCGGAAAAUUUUUGAUAAAAUCUGAACCAGGGUUGACUGUUGGGUGGUUUUGGAGGCCAUCUUUCGAUCUCCAUAGGGUUCCCAGAAGCAAUUAUCACUUUCUGGAUAAUCUAUGAGGAUUAAGGAGCAAGAUCAGUGUUGAAAAAUUUUGGAGAAAACCGCUUCAACAUCUUCAAAUUGAGACCCCAACCUGCUUCCUUCGUCAUCCUUGGAAAGCUGCAACAAAUAUGCUUGCUUCAUUUCCAGCAUCUUAGAUGAUUGUUUCUCGUUUUCUUUUGCAUCAAUUCAAUUCCCCAAUCAUUUAUAGGUAACAAUAACUUUUCUUGCAAGUUUUUUUUAACACUUUUUCAUGAGAUUUCGAAUCAUUCACGUGAGUUUUCUCUCUCAUGAAUAGGGCUCUUGGAUUUAUUUUGUUUGAUGCUUGAUGCUUUUCGAAAACUUGCUUGGAUGACUUGAAUUCGCCAAAAAAAAGGGUUUUAGGAUGGCUAACGUGUGAUGAUUCAAUGAUUUGGCCGAAAAAUAUCAGCUUUUGAUGAUUCCAUCUUUGGCCUAUCAGAAGCAUGGCUUCAUUCCUUCUUUUGCUGCGUUUUUUUUUCUUUCUUUCUGUUUGGAUCUCCUUUGUUGGACAUUCAAUGAUCUUUGCAUCAGAAUUUGGGAUUAUGUUGGUGAUUUGUAUUUGCCGUUGAGUCGGAGUUGAUGAAUCUAUGGUUUUUCAUUUGGGUUUGCGAUGAUUUUGUGUUGAAUAAGUUUCCAAAGUUGCAAAAGGAGAUUGCAGAAGAAGAAGCUUCGACCCAGAUGCAUGGAAUUGUUUUUGAAACUGCGUUUUGACCCUUGAAUUUUAAAAUAAUGUCACGGUGGCCCCAAAACUUCUACAAAUAAACCAUUUUGACCCCUUUUAAAUUUUAAUCAUCUUUUGUAUAUUUUAAACAUGUUUUUGAGCAGAAUAAUUCUGGGUUUUAGGGCAAGAUUAGGGUUAAAUAAUUUUAGUUGAUUUUUUUUAUCAUGUUGGGUUUUAGUGAAAUAGGUAAUUUGGGUUAAAAGGUUAUUUUGUUUGGGCUUAAGAGAGUAGGGUUUGGGUUAAUUUUUUUGGGUUUUUGGCUUGGGCUGGAGGGUUAAAACCCAUCCGUUUUGUUGGAUUAUUUUGGGUCAAAAUGAUGGAUUGGCCCACUCCUUUUGCCUUGGACUUUUGAUUGGGCUAAAUAGCUUCUGGCCCAAAGAAAUGUUGAGAAUGGCCUAGUGGCCCAAUUCCUUAAGUGAUCUGGUGACGAAAAUUGCAAAUCAGUCUUUAUACUUUUGAGUAAUUGUACUGUGACUCUAACAACUUUUGAUUUCUCUCAAUUAGGUUCCUAAUUUAAUUACAAAUAGGUCUCUAAACUUUAUCUUUCUUUCAUUUUGACCCCUUAAUUUUCCAAUAAUUAUGAUUUGACCCAAAACUUACAUAUUUUUGCAAUUAGGUCCCUAGUAGUUUUGAUUUCUUAAAUAUAAGUUACUUUUCUUCUUUAAUUGUUAGUUAUACUUCAUUUAAGUGUUUUAAUUGGUAGGUUGCAUGAUUAUUUCCAUUUCUUUACAAUUAAAUUGGUACCUUAAUCAUUUUUAAUUUUGGAGUUAAAUAGGGCAAAUCCAACCCUCAUUAGCUUUUACUUCAAGGGAGGUAUCUUCUUUUGUUAAUUUAAAUCCUCUUAUGUGCUCUUAUGUGUUUUUAUGUGUGUAAUUGCAUGUUUUUGAGUGAUUUUUCUUAUAGUUAGUCAUUUUAUUUAUUUUAAGUUUCAUAUAUUUAAUUUAAUUUUGAUGAUUAUUUGAGAGGCAUUUAAAUGUCAAAUUGUAAUAGAUAGAGGUCCAAGACAUGUAUUUAGAUAGACUAUAUAAUAGUAGAUUUUAAUUUUUACCAAAAGUGUAAUUAGUUAGAUAAAUGUAAUAGUUAGGUUAUUAUUUCAUUCUUCCCCCCUAGAUUGUAGUUAAGACCCCAAAUGUAAUAGUUAGGUCUCUAUUUACUUUUAUUUACUUGUGUGCUUGCAUGCUUGUGUGCUUAUGUGUUUACUUGCUUUCAUUAAGGUUUUGCAUCUUGAAAUUAUGCCUAUGUCUUAUGUGUUCUAUAUGUAUUAUGUGUUUACUUGUUUUAAUUAUGUUUUAUAUGAUUUAUUUAGUUAUAAUAAAUGCAUGACGCCACCACACUAGUUCAACGCUAGUUGUGGCCUUUCUCCCCGACUUCUCACUAAUCCAACGCUAGUGAGGACUUAUAGACAUGGGUUAGUCCAAUGCUAGACCCUUAGGGAUCGUCCACACGCUAGAUCAUGUUUGCAUGACAAUCACUACAUUUCAUGUAUAUUUUCUACUUUUUAGGAGUUUUAUCAUUUUGCAUGAUAUUUCCUCUAUAUGUAUAUCCCUUAUCCCUAUGUGCGAAACAUAACAUUUAGAUUUGCAUUCCAUUUAAAAAAAAAAUUAGAAAUAGGUUAGAUCAUUUGCUUGAUUAGAUUAGGAGAGUACUAUUCAAAUAUGGGAAAUGGACGAAUAUGAGUUCUUAGCCUUAGCACGUUUAUAUCUCCUCUAUAGAAAGGAAAAUUGAGUCACGAAUCUUAGUCUCCCGUACCCGUUAUGUUGCAUUCCUCUUUUUAAGUCAUGUAUAUUUAUAUAUUAUAAUCCUUCUUUUCUUUGAGUCUUAUUUUGCAUAUUCGUGACCUCUUCUAAGAAUCACUUUUGGGACAUCAUAAUUAAUGUGAUUUGCACCAAUUAAACUUUGAAGAGAUAUUUCGACCGUCUCAAUAUCCAUUAGGUCUAGAUUUGCAUCCAUGUAGACACAUCUAAAUGUGAUAAGUUUUAUAGGUUAGAUUAAGCAAAUUUUCGACUAAAUCACGCAACUAGUUUUGACUAGAUUGAAAGGGUGCCUUAGAUCAAAUCUUUGCCUUCCCUUUUUUCAACCGUGACUCCCGAACUCUUUUCUCUUGUUUUCAAAGACUUGGAGUCGUUUAAAAAGGGUUUUACCUUUUUUUUUUUAUUAAAAAUACAUUUUUGGGUGACUUGGUACACCUUAACUCAAUACCAAGUAGCGACUCCCAUUUCUUCUUAAAAAUCCUUUUUAAACUAUUAUUUUGAGCCAAAAUCGUCACACCUUUUAAGUCCCAUUUUAGGCCCUAGUUAUUUAUUUAUUCUCUAAAAAUAAAAAACUCAUUUUUACUCAAAAUUAAUCAAAAAUUCAUUUUUAUAACUCGUAAUGUUAUUUUUCAAAAAAAUGUGGCGCAAAACUUAUACAAUGAUUCACCCUCACAAUGAGAAAAACUCUUAUAUCCAUGCAUAAUUUAGCAAUUUUACUAGUUAAGAAAUAUUUAUUCAAGAAAGCUCUAGAUAAAUCCUCUCAAGUAAUGAAAGUGUUUGGUACAGGGGAAUUCAACCAUACCUUAGCUUUAUCUCUCAAAGAAAAUGGAAAAAACUUAAGUUUUAUAGCAUUAUCGCUUACUCUGUUUAGAUUGAUUGUGUCACAUAUCUCCGAGAAUUUGGCUAUGUUAGCAUUAGGAUCCUCCAUAGAAUUAUCUCCAAAUUGAUUUUGUUGGAUCAACAUGGGCUUGAUUUCAAAGUUAUUUGCAUUAAUUGGCAACCUAGCUAUACUAGUUUGCGAUCUCAAUGCACUAGGCAAUGCAAAGUUCCUCAAAACUUGUUAAUUCAUAUUUGCUUGUUCCUCCACCAUUGGUUUUAAUGGAGGGAGUUCAAUUCAGGUUUCACCUAUAUUUUCCUCCAUUGGAAUUGCUUCUUCUUGUUGUUGCUAUUGUUGUUGUGCAAGACAUCUCGCUUUCCUAGCCGUUUUUCAAUCUCUAGACCAAAUGGAAAUAGAACUCAGAGCAAUCGAUGCUUAUAUAUCUAUAUAUGUAUGUAUGUGUGCAUGUUUAUAUAUAUAUAAUAGCAAAUUGGCAUCAUACAUAUAAAGAAAUUCACAAAAUUAAAACUAAAACAAGUUUAGAUUAAUAAAGCUUAUAUUUGCCCUAAUAUUAGCCAAUUCCCUCAGAACAUGCUAAAAACUUGACCUGAUUUAGGCUUUUAAGUUAAAAAGUCCUAAUAAUCCAAUUAAUUAUACCCAAUUACUUCGAUUUUCAACAAGUAUAUGGGUUGAGAAGAGUACAAGGAUAAUUAGGAUUGAUCCUACAGGGAAUCAGGUAAUUACUGCAGCUUUUGGAAUGAAUCUGGUAGCUGCGAAGGGUUCGAGUACUAACAUUUUUUUUACAACCCCAAGGAUCCCAAGUCCUAUGUUCAAGCGAAUCAUUCAAACUACAAAGACAUUACUUCAAGUAAUGGUUGAAGGAAUUCAUAGAACAAAUCCAUUGAAGGAAUUGAAUUUGAAGAAAUGCCGCUCAAAACCCUAGUUCAAGUUCAACUUGAGGAGGCCAGUUGAAGAUUAUUGAAGAUAUCUGUCUUUUGGGCUGAAUUUUAUCUUUUGUUUAUUUCUAGUUUUAUUCAUUUAAUAGGCUGGCUACUGUAGCAAUUUGUUAGUUUUUUUGGUUAAUAAAUUUAGCCAAGCUGUGUUGAGCUUAAAUGGGCCGAGUCCAUUAGUUAGUAGAGUCCAUUAGCUAUUAGACAGAAUAAGUGAACACUAAUCCAAUUCAGAUUUUGAAUAUUUUAAGUUUUGCCCUAUAAAUAGGUCUUAUUCCCAUUUUAAAAAGAGAGGCAAGAUUUGACGAAUAAAAAUUGAUAGUUUUCUCUUGGUUCCUUGUGAACUUUCUUUGAAUUUGUCUUGAGUGUGUCUCGACAAAUUUAAUUUGGUUUAUCAAUUAAAAAUCGGACUUGAUUGUGGCGAAUUUUACCAUCAACCAGGGUUCACUAAUCCAUUUAGUUUGUGGGUUAUGAUUGUAUCAACAUAUUCAUGACUCUAAGAAUUGGAAGGGUCUUUAAUUUCGCAAUUCCAAACUUGAGUACCAAUGUCUAGAUCAGACCUUGUGGGAUACUGUGAUGCCCCCACCUCUCCCUAGGGCGAACCCUAGGGUAUCAGCGGGAUACCUACCCAAUUUUCGUUAGGACUCACGCACUCGUUCAAACUUAAUAUAGAGCCACAAAACAACCAUCGACUUAAAUAAGAAGUACUUCGAAUAUACAAGCCAUAACUUCAAAGUUAAAAGUUAUGAUUACAAUCCACCAACCAACAAUAACAAAAUUACACUUUAAUAGUCACCAAAAGUUCAUACAAAAGAUAUACUAGCAUUCACCAAGUCGCUAGUCUAGAACCUCCAAUCCACCUCCAAAGCAUGUUAAGGAAAACAAAUUUAAAGGGAUGAACGAACGUUCAGUGAGGCCAAGAAAGAAAAUUUAAACAAGCAAGCACGUAGUCCAACCAAUCAAAUAACAUAUUUGAAAGCAACUUUAAACAUGAAGUUUCAUUUCAGUGCACAAGUUGGAAAUAAACACACAUGGAGGAUACAAGAGCUCUCAGGAGCUAUUCCCAUGUCUUGAUCAAUUUGAGCCAUCUGGGGUUGACCCUCCAUCAACCCAAGUAGUAACACGACCGUAGUGCUCCACUUACUUCCUCCAUCCAACAUAACACCCACUCAGAUUCGUAACCAAACAUGUACGAAGUGGCGAUACUAUUCGAGUAUGCCAAGCGAGAUUUCAAAAGAUUAAACUAUAAUAUUUCUCAAAGUUCACCAAACUUCUUGACCAAGCCUUUGCCGGCUCGAGUUACAAGGUUAGCCAAUGGGUUGGAGCGUCCCCACAAGCAUAUUUGGUCAACGAGACAAUGCUCCAAUCGACUUUGAAUCGGUCAUAGCACUGAGUCGGGAUGAGUGGUACCUCUUACCCAAAUAGGGCGUGAUACUUCUAGCCGCUCAGUGCUCAUGACUUAAAACAUGUUUAUGUAUAAGUGCAAGUCAUAUAUAUUCAUUUAACAAGUAUCAUGUAAUCAGGAAAGAGAGAGGACGAGGGCGAUAAAGUACACCCUCGCCUCGGCAAGUUCAUGUAUCAUAAAUAGCACUUCUACACAUAUCAUUUCAAACACAUUUGCAUUUAACAUGCACUUGACACUCACCACAAGUCAAGGGCAAAACAAGAGUGAAGCGAGAAGUCAGACGAGCUCUUCGGCGUCUUCGUGACUACCUGAGACAUGUACAAUCACAAUUACCUAGGUGCUCGACCAAAGUUAAUAAGAAAGACAUUUUCUUGCUACCCACUCUCAAGGUCACAAGUUCGAGUCAAGUUAAAGUAACUUUUCUAGUUAAAUCAUUGAAAUAAUGCUCAAAGAGAGCUCAAAGGUCGUUUUUAAUUCAAGUCGUGGAAAGAAAUCUCAAUUCCAAAGGAAAGUACCAUUUUCACUUUCAGCAUGAAAAUUGAGGAAAAGGGAAAAUGGUUUUCAUCCCUUGAAACUUUUAAUCUCAUCUCCGAACUUUAAAAUAUAAAGAGCGUUCACAUUUUCAAACUAAUGGAGUCAAAACUCAACCAAAACUCCACUCAUUUCAUCGUAAAUGUCAAAGCUAAAGGUUCCAAGUUUUGAGUAUAAAACUAGUGAAAAUUCUUCAAGAUUUACUCUAGUCAAAACGCUCCCUUUUUAGAGUUCAAACUCAUGGAAAUCAAGGCCAUAAGAAUAGGGGUUGAAGUCCAUAAUUCAAGUAUGAAGAGAUGUGCCAUAACCAAGGGAGUUAUGCAACCAAGAGGAAUCAUAAAAAGGGGAUUAAUCCCUUGGAAACUAAGAUUUGAGAUGAAUGUUUAAAAUUCAAAGAGACCUUGUAUCUAAUCCCAAAAUUAAACUUAAAACAGUCCAACAAUCGUAAUGGAAGGUGGAAAGUUCUUAAAAGGAGUAUUUGUUUGAAAACAGAAAAUUUUCAGCUUGGUGUGACACUACUUGGAAAAAUCGUAUCUCGAGUUCCGUAAGUCCAAAAAUUGAAAAAUUUAUACCAUUGGAAACUAGACUCAAUGCACUAAAACUUUUAGAAGACACUUUUCUCAGACUCCAAUUCGAAAUUAUUCAAAUUUUAACUCAAAGUCACUAUUUUAGACAGGACAGAGCAAAACAGGGUUGAAAUUUCAGUAAAGUUUGAAAAUUCGGAAAAAUUCGUAGUUGGAAUCAACCCUUGAAAUUUAUACCACUAAUAGAAUUACAAAUCUAGUUUCAAGUGCAACAAACGGAACCCAAUUCGGACCUUUCUACAUCAAGAUACAAUAGUUUUAAGAAAACUUAAUUUUAGAACCUGUUUACGAAAUUUUCAGUUCUGACAUACUUGACAGAGUUUCAAAAUCUGAUCAUAUCUAGAGCUACACAAAUCAAAAUUUAGUGUGGUCUAUGGUGUUGAAAGCUAGAUUCAAAAGGCUACAAUUCACUAGAAGGAACUGUCUUAAAAUUCGUUUUGCAAAAUAGGCGAAAUUGAGCUACAAACUGCAGCUAGGCUGGUUUCUCGGAUGAGAACAGGAAGGAAAUUCAGUCAUAUUUGCCAGUUCACUACGGUUCAUAGGAAACGAAUUAGGAGGCAUAUUUUAUACCGACAAAAAGCUCUCAGAGUCUAGUUUCGAAUGCCACAAAUAUCACCCAAUUUCAACUCCCAGAUAGAAAGUUAUGACCCAAAACGUGAACACUGGUUAGGUCUCCUGAUCAGAAAAUUUUCCAGAAUUCAUCCUCACUUUCACCCCACUUUAACUCAACUAAUAGAAAAGCUUUUUGGGAGAUAUUUACUACACAUAAUCACCAACAUGUAUCAAGCAUUAUUGCACCAAAAUAACAUCAAAAUUCAAAAUUAACAUGAGGGUUUCAACAAACCAAAAUUCGGACAGCAUACAACUUUCAUCUUCUAGCUUUCUUUUCCAACUUUCCAACUCAAACUAAACCAUAUCUUCUCAAAAUAAGGAUCAAACAAGCAAUCAAACAUACAAAAUCCUCAAGGCCUCUACCUAAAAAGCCACCUCAAGUCCACUACCUAAUGUCAAGGUUCUUGUGAAUCCAUCAACAACCCAACAACUAAACUAACUAGACUAACUAACUACUAAGAUUUGAGAGGAAAAGUUGAAGUUUCUUUGGAUGAUUACCUUGCUGCCAAGAUGAAGACUAAACGCUAGGAUUUGAGCUCUUAAAUCACCAAAGUUUCUUCCUUGAUCAAGUCACCUUCCAAGCUUGUAUGAAGAACCAAAGAAAGAAGCAAAUUUGGAGAGUUUUCUUGGAGCAACAAUGGAAGAAAGGGAACUGAAAUUUUUGUGGGGAAAUGAGGGAGGGGAGUCGGCCAAGGAGAGGGAGAAGAAGAGAGGUUUUGGGUGGUAGUUGGGUGAUUUGAUUGAGUGACAAGAAGAAUGACAUAAAGGUGUUCUUGACCCCAAAAGUCAACAAUCGAUUAGUGAGCAAUUAGUGCUCCUAAUUGAGUUUAAUUUAACUCACUCAACUCUAAUCCCUCUUAUUCUACUAUUAAUCAUCCUUAAUUCUCCAAGAUUAAUGUAUUUUCGGAUCGAAUUUGUCUCGAAAAAUGUGCAUUCGCUAUUUCUCGCUAAACAAGCCGCAGAAAAAUUAAAUUCACUAACAAAACGUUUUAAAAAUAUAAAUGAGACAUUGUUCCAUGCAAAUGGAUUUAAAAUGGAUGAAAUAAAAUAUUUGGAGUAAACAGGUGAAUAAAUAAUUAAAUAAGCCAGAAAAAUAAAAUAAAAGUAAGAAAAAUAAAAAUUCGGGUCCUCACAGAUAUGAGUUUCGUUCAACUCUAACGGGGUUCGUAUCAGCUACUAUCAGAGCUAGGUUGAAAGUAUUAAGUUAUAUCCCUAGUGGUUUGUUGAUUGAGUCAAUUUUCCUUGUUUCAAUUCGUUUCUAGGAUUUCUUGUUGAGUUGUCUUUGUGUCCUUGUUGAAUUGUUUGUUUUGUGCCCUAGUUGUGUCAAAAAAUUGUUUUACUAUUCAUAGUGUUUAUCAUUAUUGUUCAUUACACCAUUCAUUGUAUUGUUUAUCCAAGCACUAUUCCUGUUACUAUUCAUCAAAAAAAUUUUGUCGUUGCUCUUAAAUUCGUGGCAAUUUUGAAUUAAUUCUUGGCUGUCCAAAUUGUUUCUUGAAGUUGUUUGAAUUUUCUUGAAUUUAUUGAUUGAAUUCUUGAAGUUCUUGGAAGAAUCUUUAGGCUUUCUUGAAUUCUUGAUUUCAAACUCGGCAAAUUUUGAAGUUCUUGAACAUCUUGAAAACCCUAAUUGUUUCUUGAAAUUUCUUAUAGCUGAUCAUUGACUUCUUGGCUGUUCUUGCUAUGGAGUGAAAAAAAGGAAUAAAAUGACCAGCCAUUGAAAUUUGAUCUUGCUGAUUCCUUAAACAAGGCUGUUUGUUAAUUUGAAAACAAGAAGAAGAAAGAAAAGAGCAACAAACAGAUUUGAUCUCGAACUCUUGAAGUAAAGGCUACUGUUUUUGUUAAACAAAAGAAAAAGAACAACCACUUUUGAAAAAUAAAGAAAUAAUCACUACAUCUUAUCCUUUCCUAAUCCAAAUAGGAUUUGAGCGAAACCAAUGAUUUUUUUGCUUUCUUGUUGUAGUAAGAGUUGGAUUUGGACAAAAGAUGGUAACAAUUCCUAAUUCUAGUUGGAUAAUGGGGUCUUAUUCAAAUUUUCUUGCAUGAUUAUUUUGAAAGCUACAAAGUAAAACUCUUGUUCGUGUAUUCUUUAUAUCUUUAGGGAUUCUUGAGUCAUUAAAUUCCAAAGUGUUUGUCGCGCCCCAUUUUUAAUGAAAAAAUAUUAAAUAAAAUUACGGGUUUUACAAAAAAUGAAUUUUUGAUUAAUUUUUUAUUUGAAAAAAUGAGUUUUUGUUUUUAGAAAAAUGAAUAAAGAAAUGGGACUAAAAAGUGCGAUGAUUUUGACCCAAAAAUAAUAGUUUAAAAAGGGUUUUUAAUGAAAAAUAGGAGUCGCUACUUAGUAUUGAGUUAAGGUAUACCAAGUCAUCUAAAAUGAAUUUUUAAAGAAAAAGUAGAGAAAACCUUUUUUAAACGACUCCAAUUCUGUGAAAAUCAAGAGAAAAGGGGUCGGGAGUCACAUUUGAAGAAAGGGAAGGUAAGGAUAAAAUCCAAGGCACCCUUUCAACCUAAUCAAGGCUAGUUGCGUGAUUUAGUCAAAAAAUUUUCUUAAUUUAACCUAAAAAUUUAUCACAUUUGGAUAUUACUAUAUGAAUGCAAAUCUAGACCUAAUGGAUAUCGGGGGGUCGGAAUAUCUCUUCAAAACUUGAUUGGUGCAAAUCACAUUAAUUGUGAUACCUAAGAGUGACUCUUCGAAGAGGUCACGAUCAUGCAAAAUAUGAGAUUCGAAAGAAAGAAAAGAAAAGAAAAUAAUAAUAUACAUGACCUAAAGGAAUGCAUCAUAACGAGUGCGGGGAACUGUGAUUCGUGACUUUAAUUUUCCCUUAGAGGGAAUACGAGCGUGCUAAGACUAGAAAGUCAUACUCGUCCAUAUCCCAUAUUUAAAGGGUAUAUUCUCCUAAUUUUGGUCAAGCAAAUGAUCUAACCUAUUUCUAAUUUCCUAAAUGAGAUGCAAAUCUAAAUGUUAUAUUUUUGUACAUGGGGGUAAGGGAUAUAUAUAAGGGAAAUAUCAUGCAAAAUGAUAAAAACCCUAAAAAGUAGAAAAUAUGCAUGAAAUGUCAUGAUUAUCACACAAGCAUGAUCUAACUCGUGAAUGGUCCCUAAGGGUCUAGCGUUAGACUAUCCCAUGUCUAUAACUUCUCACUAGCGUUGGACUAAUGUGGUAACGUCAUGCAUUUAUUAUAACUAAAUAAAUCAUAUAAAACAUCAUAAAGCAAAUAAACACAUAAACAAAAUUGUUCGUCAAGGCAGAGACAUAUGAUGCUGUAGUAUCUUCAUUAUGAAAAAUGAUGAAUAAAGAGACAUAUGCAGAACUUCUUUCUAAAACAACUGCUUAAUUCGGGAAAGUCAAGGUAAAGGAAGAAAAAUUAACUUGUUACUUACAAAAUCUUGAAGAAAAAUCUGCAAUCUAUUCAAAAUGGGAAGAAAGUUCUUUAAAAGGAACUUAUUGAUUUGGAAAGGCCAGGCACGGAAGUUAGCUCAACUAUUGACCAAAAGCAUGAAACUUUCAAGGAGAUCUAGACUGAAAUAUUCCAAAUCCAUGAUGAACUCUCUUUCAUUAAAAAAUGCUAGUGUUUUAACUGAUUACACAGUGAAAAAAUUUAAAGGCAUGAAAUCCGCACUUGAAACAUACAAAAUAGCUAUAGUAGAUUACAAGUUUGAUAUUUAGAUUUUCCCUCAUGUUCCUCCUUUUCCCUUAGAAAUUUUAAGGCAGAAUUUUUUUCUUUUCAUUUUCUUUUCACAUAUAAUGAAACUUUUUUUGAAUAAUAAAACAACUUUUCUUUAUCUUGUGAUUUUUUUUCAAGAUAAAAGAACUUAAAUUUAGCAUUUUAUUUUCAAAGAGAGGAAAAAAAGACUUUACAAGGGAAAACGAUUUAGUUUGGGAGGUGUAACUGAACUUAGAAUGUGCCCUUUAAUCAGUCUACAUAUCCCAAAAGGGAAUCAAGCCACACGUAAUUUCUGCCAUUUACAAUUUAACCUCAUGCAGACCAGGAGUAUCUAUUUAUUUAUCAUUUUAAAUUGGUGGAGUGUUUCAGGAAUUUAACCACAUACUACACUAUUGGUGAUUGCCAUUCAUAAUUUUAGUUCAUGUGGGUUAGAAACAACAUGUAGCUUUUUAUUUAUGCAUCAUGAGGCCUUGAGAUUAGCAAUAAUAUUUCUUCAAGUAUUUGUCAUUGAUGUGGCCAAUCCUUAAUCUAGUUUCAACAACUAACUUAUACGAACCAUUUGAGUAUAUUUCUUGAACAACAUACGGGCCAUCCUAUUUGAAGAUAAAUUUUUUUGUUCACCAUGUGUGAGGACCCAAAUUUUUCCUUACUUUUAAUUCUAUUUUAUUGGCUUAUUUAAUUAUUUAUUUACCCGUUUUCUCCGAAUAAUUUAUUUCAACCAUUUUAAAAUCAUUUACAUGGAAUACUGUCCCACUUAUAUUUUAAAACAUCCCGUUAGCAAAUUUAAUUUUUUGGAGGUUCGUUUAUUAAGAAAAAGUGAAUACAUGUUUUUCGAGGCAAUGUUUGAAUCGAGAGUGCAAUAAUCCUAGCGAAUUAAGAAUGAGUAAUAGUAGACUAAGAAAAGUUAAUUGAUGGAUUAGAGGUGAGUGAGUUAAAAAUUUAAGCUUAUACCGCGAAUGCGUCGAAAGUUUCCUGAAAGUCGCACCUGUACAAACUAAUUGGAGAUUUGAGGAAUUAAUACUUGUGAGAACUUAUGUUUUUAUUUCAAAAAUAGUUAUUUUUAGGAUUAUUUACCCUAGUAUUAGUGAGUUAUAUUAUCGUUACAAGAAUUUCUUUUGAUUUUCGCUUUAUCGCGCUCGAAUCGGAAGUUCGCAUAUUUCGCGUCAAAACGGUUAAGUAGUGAUUUAAGAAACUAAAACUAGACUAUGAAGAGUGAAUAAUUAUAAUGUUAAAAGAAGUACAUUAGAGGUUUAGUGCACAAGUGAAACAAACCCGAGAGAAAACGGAUACGAAACGCGCACGCGCGAGUACUAUUCAUAGUUGACUUUUACACAAAAUUUUAACCACAAAACACUUAAGCUUCCAAGGGAAGCUUCAUUCAUCAGCCACACUCUCUCUCCUCACCUCCAUAGCUCACAAAACCAGCCAAGGAAGAAAAGAGAAAGCUCUUCAUCAUUCUUGCUCCAUUCUUGAACAAUUUCACUCCAAAAUCUUCACUCAACUUCCAUAUCACUUAGAGAUUAGCUUAAGCUUGGUGGAAGACUUCAUCUUGGCGGUUUUCUUGGAGCUUUUGUGAUCAAAAUUUCUGGUUCUUCAAGGCUUCAAGAGAUAUACACCUCAACUCAUCCAAUCUUUUAUUUCUUGGCUUUAAUGAGUUUCAUUCUUGGCUUGAAGCUUGUAGCUUUCCAACGGUAUAAAAUUCACUUUCUAGUUUGAAAUGAGUGAGGUGUAAUGAGUCGGCAAAGUUGCUGCCCUGUUCUGUUGGCCUAUCCGAGAGAAAGGUAGAAGCUGCAUUUUGUGGCUCUAUUUUCUCUCACUUAUGAAUCGAUUUUGAAAACGAUUUGUUCUGAUGAAAUGUAGCCUUAUGAUUCUAGUUUCCAACGCCACCAACCAUUCGCAAUUCCAAGUUGUAUUGAGUGAGAUAUCAUCCAAUUUUCAAACUGUGACAGAACUGGAAAACCCUUCUUUUGGGCUGGCCGACUGGUUUAGUUGUUUGUGAGAUGUUUUAUAUUGAAAUUUUGAUGUCAACCAACUAUCAAUUGCUUAUGAAAUGUGAAUUACUUGACAAGCUCCCGUAUCCUUAACAAGUGUGUUAUAUUAUAAAUUGUGAAUUACUUGAACUUUCUGGCUUUAAUUCUUGUACAUAUGUUAUUGUUACUUGUUACUUGAACUAUGUGUUCGCAAGUGCAUGUUUUGUUUUUUUCUUGGCCUCACGAGCAUCCGCUCACCCCGUUAGAUUUGUUUUCCUUAACAGGAUCUGAACUGGAAGGGAUUAUGGAAAAGCCUAUUGAUGGCUCUUUUGGCUAGAAUUUUGGAAUGUAUUUGUCUAGACAUCAUUUUGGGAAGUUGUAUAUUUUGGAAAGUGGAUGUAUUUUGAACUUGUGGUGUAAGAUUGGAUAUUUAUAUAUGGAAACGACUUCUCUUUCUUACUUCGCCUUGUCUUACUAGUUAUUAUGGUAUUAAGUUUGAACGGGAAUUGUAUCGAGUCCUGGCGAGAGUUGGGCAGGCGUCCAGCCGAUACCCUUUGGUUCCCCUUAGGGAGUGGGGGCGUCACACCAUGAGUGAGAAUGAUCAGUCUUCAAAUAGUAAGUACUAAUUCCUCAACUUGAAAAGUGCGAGGUCGAACACACUUAUUGAAUACUUUUGAGAGAUGAGUUUGAUAGCACUCAAUUCAUUGUUGGGUUUCCAAUAUCUUUUUAUCAAAUGCUUCUAAUUCCUCAAGACGAAACUAAGCAUUAUCUUUCUCAUUGAACACUUUUUGACUUGCAAUCUUAAAUGAGGGCAUUUGUCGUUCAAGUGAAAGAAUAGAUUCGACACCAUAGACCAGUGCAUAUGGAGUAGGUUGCAUGGGAGUUUGCCCAAUGAGCCUCUCCAAUUUAUUGAUGCCUAUCUUUUUUCAAUUUACUAUGAUCUUUUUUAACAAAUUGCAUAAGGUCUUGUUAAAUGUUUCGGUAAGUCCAUUUGCAGUAGUAUAAUACAUUGAAGAAUUAAUAUUAUUUAAACUUAAACUUUUCACAAAGUUUAUUCAUUGCAAAAAAAGCUUGCCAUUAUCAGUGAUUAAAUAACGCAAAACUCCAUAUCGAUAGCUGAUGUUAAAAUGGAUGAAAUCUACUACAUUUUUUUUCUUCACCUCUCUUAGAGGAAUUGUUUCAACCCACUUUGAGAAGUAAUUUGUUGCAACCAAAAUGAAGAUGUGUCCACUAGAAAAUUUUGGGAGUGACCCAACUAUGUCCGAUUCCCAAGCAUCAAAUGGUCAAGAAACAGCAGUUAGAUGCAAUGGUUCAGGAGGUUGAUGAAUGAAAUUGCUAUAAAAUUGAUAAGUUUGACAUUUCUUUGCAAAAUCAAUGCAGUUUUUUACCAUUAUUAGCCAAUAGUAUCCCAUCCUCCUGAUGUAAAAAUAUAGUUUAGGCCCGGAUUGAUGAGUCUUACAUACUCUAGAGUGAGUCUCUUCCAUUGCUUGCAUGGCUUCAUCUUCUCCAAGACAUCAUAGAAACAUUUUCAUCAAAUGAUCUUCGAUAAAACAUCUCCUUGUAGUAGAUGAAACGAGGUGCUCGCCGACGUAUAUAAACCCUUCUUUUCGGAUCUUCUAGCAAUUUUUCGUAACUAAAAUAAUCAAUUAUUGGUUGACGCCAAUCAAUGAUUAGUUGAUUAUCUUUUUUGAGAUCAUUGAUUGUAAUAUGGUGACAAGAAACAGUACUUUCUUGAUCUUGUUCUUAAAAAAUGGUUUCAAUUCUUGUAUUAAAUAAAUCACCAUAAUAUAUGAAAAAAUUGGUGAUACGUCUCUUUCAUUGGAGCAAACCUCUUUUUUCCCUUAGCAAUCUAUUGUUCUUGUUUUAGUAUGCUUAAUCUUUCAUGGACAAGUUGCUUCAAAUUUUUUGCCUGUGGGCCAAGUCUAUCAAAGACAGAUAUUUGUUUCGACUUAUUUUUCGAUCUAUCGAAGACGAAUUUUCUUUGACUUGUGACUUUUUUUCUACAUUCACAUCAUUUGAGCUUGCCCUUUUAACUACUAUACGAAUAGGAGAAAAUGGUUGAUAGCUAAGACUCAUGGACGAUCUUUCAAUAGCAUAAGCUUUCUCUUUCAACAUUUUUUGAAUAGAAAUCAAUUCUUGGGUUUUCUCACCAGUUACUUCAGAAAGAAUUUUGGCUAAUGUAUUAUUCUCGUUUGGGUUAUAAUCAGUUUUAACAAGAAGUUUGUAUGCAUUUGGAUCAAAACUUUCUUGAGUUCGAGUGGUUGGUAAUGAAUUAUGUUCCACUACAAGAUCCUCCUUUGGAUGAACGAAUUCCUCAAGGACAACUUUUUUAUUCUUGAUUGCCUCAAUUUUGGUGAGUGGUACAUUUAAUCCUUUAAAUGUGUUACAACCCACAAAAGGAAAUUGAUCUUCCUUUCUUUUAAAUUUUGGAAUAUACGCAAGAUAGGUGCUUUAGAUUUUUGAAUUUUUUCUUUCAUUGAUUCUUUUAUUCUUGCAUCACUUUGGAGAUAAAUUUGAUUUUAGCAAAAUGUGUCUUGGUUUUAGUGAAAGGUUUAUCAUCUGCAACAACUUUCUUGACAAUGCCAUCAUGAGAAUAUUUAAAAUAUUGAUAUAGAGUAGAUGGUAUAAUUCUAUUUUUCGUAAAUCUACGGUCUACCCAAAAGCAUGUUGUACGAAGUUUUAGUAUCAAUAAUAUGAAAAUAUGCACUUCAAAAUAACUCACCAAUAAAAAAUUCAAAUCUUAUGAGAUAUAUUACUCUUUGCCCCCUUUGAUUAAACCCUUAAAUCAUGAGGUAGAUUCGGGAGAUCUUAUCACUUGAAAUUUUAAUUUCUUUUAUGACAUGUAAAGGAAUGAUGUUGAUAGCAGAUCCUCCAUCGAUGAGUAUCUUAUUUACUUUUUAUUCUCAAGCACACCCACUGACAAACAAAGGGCGAUUAUGGGAUUUGAAACUAAGUAAUAGAUCAUCAUUAUCAAAUAUGAUGGUUAUUGCAUAUUCAAUAGUAAUUUAAAAUUUUUCUUCUAGUUCAACAUUCAUUUGUGCAACUUGAAGAUUUUUUGCUUUGAUGACAUUACAAGACGUAGUCAUUAUCAUUAUUUAAAUAUCUCUUAAGCAUGAAUUCUCUUAAUGUCACUGCCUAGCGAACUUUUUGGAGAAUUGGAUCUCUUAGAAGAUUUGGCACUUUAAUAGCACUUUUCAAUUUUUUCAUCAUACUUUGUUUUUUUAUAAUUUUGAACUUUGUUGGAGAGGUGCUUUUCUUCACCUUCGGCUUAUGAUUCUUUCUUUGAAUAACGAGGGUCCAUCCUUUAUUAUCAUCUUGGCUUAUUGAUCUUUCAAUCCCUUCAUUCGCAAAUGAAAUAUUGCGUCAUAAGAAUUGACUAAGAAGGACUCCUACAGGACAGUACAAAGAACCAAAUAUUAUUGUGGUUUGAUUUGCAGAUACCUUAUCUUCUUCAAGAAGGAUUUUAUCUUGACGGGUUAAAUCCAUAAUUUUGUCUUUAAAGAUAAACAUUUUGUUAGAGGAUGACCAACCAAAUGAUGAUAACAACGACAAUUUGGGUCGUUGACUUGGCCAGCUUUCUCAAGACGUUUCAUCUCAAGAAGUUCAAUGAGUUUUGCCUUAGAAAGAUCAUCAAACAGUCCUUGUAAAUCAGAGUGAAGGAAAGGAUAUUCUUUCUCUUGCAUUUCUUUUAGAGUGGGUUUUCUUGUUGAUCUAUUUUGGGGAAAAUCUAGUUUUUCAGUGACUUUUUGACUCAUCUUUGUAGCAAUCUUCAUAGGUGUCGAAUUCACUACCAUAGACUCCUUACUAUUGAGUUUCGGAUGAGACUUGCCUUAUUUAUUCUUUUGUUUUUCAUUGCUUUGUUGAGACGGUUGAGCACGAUGAACUUGAAUAGGAAAACUAUCAGUUACAUUAGUUAUGAUGCUCAAUUCUAUAUUAUGAGCUCGAGUAGCUAACUUUUCAAAAGGACUUGGACUAAUGCCAUGUAGAAUGUAGCUUAAACUCUAAUACAUUCCUUAGAUGCACAAUUUUAUUAUAGAAGUCUCAGAAAGUAUGUAUUUAUAGUUAAGACUCAGACUUUUCCAUCUAUCAAUAUAGUUGACAAUAGGCUCAUUUUUCCAUUGAUGGGUGUUAGUCAAUUCCAACAUAUUAAUGGUCCUUCGAGUGCUAUAGAAGUGAUUGAGAAACUCUUGUUUGCAUUGCUCCCAACUAUCAAUGAAUCCAGGUUCAAGGUCAAUAUACCAAUCAAAUGCAUUGCCCUUUAAUGAUCAGACAAAUUGUUUGACUAAGAGGUCGCCAUAUAUUCCAGCAUUGUUAUAAAUUUCGAUGAAAUGGGCUACAUGUUAUUUUGAAUUGCCUUUCCCAUCGAAUUGUUAAAAAUUAGGCAGUUGAUAUCUAGAAAGCAUCACAAGGCUAUUAAUCCUUGCAGUAUAAGAAUUGGAAUAGGUGAAAUUUGACCUCAAGCCAUUCUCUUUUUUUGACUUUGAUCACAUCUUCAACAAACUCCUUUAGUUGUUCUGUCGCAAUUGUUCCUUCAACAAUGACGUGCACUUCCUUUAUUUUAUCUUUGCCUUUGGAUGAGGAAGUCCCACAUUCUUGUUGUUCCUUGGAAUUCAUGUGACUUCCUUCAGGAGCACAAUCUUUUUGGUUAAGAAGUUGAACGAUAAGUGUAUCUUAGUCUUUGAUGUGCUUCAUUAUUGUUUUCAUCAUCUUGGACAUGUUCAUGAUUUGCUCUUCCAAACUUGCAGUAUUUGUCAUCAUUGCAAGCAUUGCAAAGAAAGCAGAAAAUGUUGCAGAAUUUUCAACAAGGAGUUCUAAUUGAGCGAUUUCAUGAGAAGAUACUAAUCCAGUACUUGAUAAGUCAUCUUUAUGCUUAGAAAGUUUGGAUCCAGAUCCAAACUCAAGUAUGGCAAGAUUCUUCUCGAUUGAGGUAGGAACAUGCAUGGACCCCAGUGUGGGAGAAGAGAUCACUGGUAAUAUUGAACCAAAGACCGGAGUUGAUGUAGAUGAAACAUCCAUACUAUUUUGGGUGAAAACUCUUGUCAUACUUCUUGUCAUAAGUCCAAUAGCACGAGUAUUUGUAGCAUCAUAUGCAGUUUCAUGAACAGAUUUAAUAACAUCAGCCUUAGAACAAAUAGUUAUGGAUUUGCUGUUCUUCGGAGCCAUUGAUUGAUAUAAAUGUUUGGAUAUGCAAAGAGAAGAGAUAGAAGGCAGAGAGGUCCUAUCAGAUGUGCUAGAAAUUUGUGCAUGAUAAAAUUCAAGUCUGCAGGAAAACUACAAGAUAAGAAAAAUAUAUGACAAAUAUGAAUUAUAUAAAUUGUAAGAAAAUAUGUGAAAUACAAUCUCUAAAAUUUUCUCUGAUUUGUAGAGAGGUUCCUUCGAUUCUUCUCCUUAAACAUUAAUCUAAGAGCUUCACAGCUUGUUCUUGGAUCGAUCAUCGAUUGCUUUAAAUUUUGAUAUAGAAGAUUUCAAGAACUUGAUGAAAUCAAUAGAAGAUACUUGAAGAUUCAAAUCUUGAUAUGAGGAAAACUUGGAGAACUUGAAGAUGCAUACCUUUGUAACUUGAAGUUUCAAAAAACUUGAACUUAUGAGAUGUGUGGUGUGUGAACUUAGUGGAGAGACCCCUAUUUAUAACUAUAGAAUAGGGUGGAAUCUGAAGACAUGUAUGGAACUUUACUUGUUUUGCAAGACAUGUAGUCAUAUAAGGACUGUACAUUCAUUUUAUGUUUAUUAAUAAAGAGAUAAUAUUAAUGAAUAUUUCCUUGAUUGGCCAAUCUUGUAGGGAUAUAUGACAUGAUACUAUUUAAUUGGACGAAGCAUUGCAGUAUAUAAGACAUAUACAUGGAUUAAAUAACCCUAAAUAUUAUCUUUUUAUUAAAAAAAUAAUUAUUUAGAUAUUCAUACAUAAUUUUGCCAAGUCAUAGAGACAUAUGACAUGGCAUAAUUCGAUUGGUCGGGACACCUCAACUUGACAUGUGGAGAGGCAUAAUUGGUUGUCGAAUAGCCAAGUUUCUAAGUGUGCAUGACACAUGGCAAUAUCCAAUUGGACAAAAAUAAGUCAUAAAAAUAAUUUAUAAACCAAUGGUAAUUUUUUAAAAUUAAUUAAAAUUCUAUUGUCUACAAUAUUAUUUCUAUUACAUAGUCGAAAAAGCAUAUUAUUUUUCAUUUUCUUUGGAUACUUCAUCCUGAGUGUCUUACACGUCAAGUUCUUAAAAAAUUCUCCUAACUUAUCCAGUGGAUAAAAUAUAUUGUUUUUCAAACAAUCUCGAAUUUCAAUUGGUAAAAAUCGUUGUAGUAAGACAUGGCAAUCGUGACUUUUCAAACCUAUUGUCUUUCCCUCAUCAAGAUUCAAACAACGAGAGAUCUUAGAAGCAUAUCCAUUAGAAAAUUUUACACAUUUUAAUAACUUACAAAACUCAUGCAACUCUUUCUUAGAUAUUGUGUAGCGAGUUGGGAGCACUACAUAGGAGCCAUCAGCAUUUCUCUUUUUAAGUGUAAAUCUUUCUGUAUGUUCAUGUCCUCCAAAUCCUUUCUUAUCUUAACUAUAUCCUUUGUUUUAGCAGUGUUCAAAAUUGUGCUCAAAAUACACUCACAAAUGUUUUUUCAAUAUGCAUGACGUCAAGAUUGUGCCUUAACUUUAAUGUCUCCCAAUAUGGCACCUCAAACAAAAUACUUUUCCUAAUCCAAUUCAACUCUUUGAUGCUGUAUUUUCUCUUUCUAUUAUUAGGAUACUUGCCACCUUUAAACUAUUCAAGAAAACUCAGUUAUUGUAGUAUGUCUUUUCCUAUUAGAUUCUUAGGUGUUAGUCAUGCUCAUUAGUACCAUAAAACAUCUUAUCUUUUUUUCGCCAUGCAUGAUUGGAAGGCAAAUACUGAAAAUUUCCCAUAUAACAUAACUUUUUCCUCAAUUUGCGAUAACAUGUGAGCUUGUUAAAACAAGACAUGCCAUAAAUUCCUUAGCUCUCCAUCUCGAUAAGCAAUCAUAGGUUGGAAAGUUAUUUAUUGUCCAAUUGACAGCAGCAUGUAAUUUGAAAUUUUUCCACAAAAGCAUCAUAGGUCUCUAUAGUUUGCCAACUAGAGGCUGCAAAUAAAUGUCAAUGUCUUUGCCUUGCGACUUAAGCCCUGAAAUAAGUAAAGACAUGAUAGUGGUAGAUUAUACGGAAUUAGAAUAACAAACCACAUACUAUAAGAAUUGCUCAUAUUUUCAAAUGGAUUGAAACCAUCAUUUGUUAGAACCAACCUAACAUUUCAAGGGUCUCUUGCAAACCACUGAUGAUUCUUGUCAAAGUCUUUUCAUGCUACAAAAUCAUCUGGAUGAUUGAACAAACUAUCAUCAUCUACCUUGUGCCAUCUCAUAUUCGCUACUCUUUCAUUUGACAUAAAUAACCUUUAAAGUCUAGUGCCCUGUUUGGUAAGUGAGUGUUUUGGGUGUUUGUCUAAAACUUUACUGUAGUUUACUGUAGAAGUUUUUAAAAAAAAUUUUGAAGUGUGUAACUUUUUGAAUAUUUUGAAGUGUAUAGUUUAAAAAUUUUGAGAAGUUUUUUAAGGUUACUGUAGCUGAAGUUUUUAAAAAACUUGUAACAGACAAAUUUGGCAAAAACUCAAGUGCCAAACAAGGCCUAGGUUUUAAAGGAAACUAACGUAAUAUUUUAGGGUGUAUUUUUUUCCCUUGCCGUCAUUGACUUUCCACCUAGAAGUACCACAAUUUGGGCAAUUUUAUUUUUUCUCAUACUUUUUACUAGAAUAGCACAAAGCCAUAGUUACAUGCAUGAAUAGAUAUAUGUUCCUAACUCCAAUCUUUCUGAAUGUUUUUGACAUCAUAGUAUGCUUUUGGAAGUGUUUCUCCACUUGGUAUCAUCAGUCUGAGAAAUUCAAGCAACUUAUCUACUGAUUUGUUACUCCAUAUAUUGUAUAGUUUCAAAUAAAGCACCAUAACUAUGAAAAUCAGUUGAGAAAAUGCAAUGCUAUCAGGAAAAUUUUUUGUUCAACCUCUUUUAUUAAAUCUUUAAAAUCCUAUGGGGGGUUGUUGAUCAAAUUAGCAAUAGAGUCACUUGUUCCUUCAAAUCUAGAUAAUUUGUCACUUAAAUUUUCCAAAUCUCUCACCAUGUCAAGCGUUCCAUCAUUCUCUAUCAUGCCAUUCUUUGUUGUUUGAUUAUCAAGGUCAACAUCCUUCAUAUCACUGAUGUUAUUACUUCUAGGAAUUUUAAAUUCAGAUUUCUCACCAUGGUAAAUCCACCUUGUAAUAGUCUUUAUCUAUUCUUGGAUAUAAUAAAUAACUUUGAACCUCAUCUUGACUUUUGAUGUGGUUAUUCAAACAAUUCUUACAAGGACAAUGGAUGUCGCAUUCCUUGCCCAUAUGCUGUUGAAUGAAAUGCAUGAAUGAGUUUAAACCAUUCACAUGCUUGUUUGAGAAUGUUUUAGAAGUGAUCCAACUUUUGUCCAUAUUUGGGAGCAUCUAUAAGAAAUUUUACAAAAAAUGGUAAGAUAAUAUAAUAGUUAAAUGGCACCAAGGAAAAGUUAAAAUAACAUCUCAUAUAUCAACAUAAAUUAUCACCCAAACCAACUUAUUUAUUAGCAAACCAAAUAGGAAGAAAGCUAUUAGCAGACGGCUAAUUUGAAAUUUUCAUAUUGCCACAGUUAAUUCACUUCGAAUGUAUCCAUAAAUCUUUGAAAAAUAAGUAUCCAUAAAUUGAAGGGUUUGGUAAAGUGUAGGAUAUCUAGGUCUGACACAUUAUAGGUUGCAAGUUGCAACCUUCUAGGAGAUGCAAUAUUAAAAUAGUGCAACUGUUGAACAGUUAAUAUUAAAUUUAAAUACACCGUAACAGUUCAGAUCCAAAGGAUUAGCGACAAUGAACUUGACUCUUGAAUCGACUCUUUGAUAAGAGCUUUUAUGCUUUCAUUAAUUGGUUGUGUAAUUAGAGAAAUUGGGUUAAGAGAAUGAAUUCCUGGGAGAAUUGAAUAAUAAGAAGAUGAAGGUAAAAAUGCACCACAUAAGUAUAAGAAACCAACUUGGAUAACAUGUGCUAGAAUAAGGGGCUAGAUUCAACUUGGUACAUAAUUAUCAAAACCCCAAAUAUCAUCCCAAUCAAUGUUUUAAAAGACAUUUUUGGGACGAGUCUCAGGGCAAGUUUUAGUAUGAGGCGAGUUCCAAAUGUCCCGAAACAUUUGAAUGGGGUGUAAGUGUUGUUGGACGUGCGCUCAUCCCAUCCUACAGGGAAACGCUAGGGUAUCUAGGGCGUUCAGGGCAUUUUUUUUUUAAAUUUUGGACUUUGGUUUUACUAUUUUAUUUUACUUAUCUUUGUUUGCUAUCCUUAUUGUUGCUUAAUAAUUUUGAAGAAUGAUUCCAUUUAUUUUGUCUUUGGAAAUAGUUUGGAAAAAAAAUGCAAAACAAAAUCAUCCAUGACUUUGUUUUCUAUGUUUUUUCCCUUUUCUUUGAUCUUAAAAUAUAACUAUUUUUUGUUAACAUAAUUUUAGAUGGCUAAUGUAUUAAUUAAAGGUAUGUUGUGGUUUUACUUGUUAGACAAUAAUAAUAUUUUUAUAAUUUUCUUAAUUUUAUCAAUUUUUUGUAUUUAUUAGUAAGAUACGUAUAUACAUAUAUGUAUGAAUAUUGUAAUUUUGUAGUAUUAUUGUAUAUUUUAUUUUUAUAUAUUUAAAAAAUCAAAAUUUUUGGGACUUAUGCCCUACGCCUCAAGGGUGAAAGCAACCAUGAGUAAUAAAAAACACAGCUAAAAUUCACAAAAUUGUCCACUCACUCAAGGUGUCCACAAAAGACCGAAAAUUUAUAUAGCCAUAGAGGUAGCGAGCAUGUUACUUUUAGAAUAGCAAGAAAUUUACAUCCCAGAAGUGAUAGUACUAAUAGUCUACCUUAAAUAGUCAUAGUGAUAGAAUGCAUAUUACUUUAAGGAGAUUCUCUACUCUAUUAAUUGUCUUUAUAUUGUUCUUGUGUAACAAGUAAGAAGGUAAAUCAAUACUCAAAAGCUACGGUGGAGCGCAAUCUUGUAAUUUUUGGUAUGACAACUGGUUAGGCAGUGGAGCGCUAUGUCUGAAAGCUACAGUGUACCCGGACCUCACCUUUAAGGAUUUCAUCACAAACGGGGAAUGGGAUGUCAAUUUGCUUGGUCAAUAUAUACCGCAGGAGCUCAUCGGUCCAAUACUACAACACCCGGUCCCGUCGGGAGACGGCCGCGACGAGGUGAUAUGGAGACUGACGGCUUUGGGGAGAUUCACGUUGGCAUCAGCCUUUCAUGAGGUCCGUCAGGCUCGGAAUUCCUCUAUGAUUCACACGCAGGUAUGACAUCCUUGGAUUCCAUCAAAGAUUUCUUUUUUCAUGCUGCGGUUGUUAAUAGGAAAACUGCCUUUAACUGAUGCAUUGUGGAGGGUAGGAGUCCAAUUGGCCUCCAAGUGUUUAUGUUGCCAAGAGGAAGCGAAUGAGCUGGUGGAGCAUGUUUUCUCAGAGAGACAGGUUGCGAUGGAAUUCUGGAAUUAUUUUGGUAGGAUAUGUGGGGUUGCUUAACGAGGCUCAUCACUACGGGCAUGGCUGACGGCUGGUGGAUGUCGUCACGUAGGUCGGAGAAAAGACGGGUCCUUUUCUCAGUCCUUCCUAGUUUUAUAUGCUGGCACAUUUGGAAGGCUCGGAAUAAAGCAUACUAUGAAGGGGUUCAGAUGCGAGUAGCGAGGAUUUGUCAUGACAUUUUGAUAGACGUGACGGGGGUGUUUGAGGCUUUGUUUAACCAGAGAUUUGGGAUAUAUACGUUUCUGCAGUUAUAUGAGUGGACUAAUCACCCUAAUCACCUGACAUCUCGCUAUAGUUAUCAGCUGGUGGGGUGGAAGGCGAAGGAGGCUGGAAUGUUAACGUUAAAUACAGAUGGGUGCUCCAAGGGUAAUCCGGGAGUGAGUGGUGGUGGGGGAGUCCUUCGUGAUGCAACAAGGUUCCCUGUGUUUACUUUCUCGGCUUACUUUGGGGAAGUUUCGAGUCUGCGUGCAGAAGUUUUGGCACUGGCAACGGGACUCCGCUUGUGCAUUCAAAAGGGGUUUACCAAUGUCAGUAUACAAGUCGAUUCACUAGUCCUGGUUGGGAUUCUUCAGCGCCGACUACAGUGCCCGUGGGUGGUACGAAGAGAGGUCGAACAGAUUUGGGGCAUGGUUGCGGAUGCGAUGCGGUUUACUCAUUGCUACAGAGAAGCAAACAGGGUGGCAGACAAUCUGGCAAUGUGGGCGCUUCGGCCUGCGAUCAGGAGGUCAGCAUCUAUGAACAGUUCAAUCAAUUCCACGAUUGGCGCGCAGAGAAAUUCACUUAGAUAGAUCAGGCAUUCCUUCGGUCAGGAGGAGGAGAGUAGGCUAGACUAGGAGGUCGGUUUAAUCGGGAGUUUCGGACUUUGUUUGUAUCCAUGUCGGAUCGUUUUCAUGAAUAAAGCCUUUUAAAAAAAAAGUCCUUUAUAUUAAGAAUGAAUGGCCGAAAUGGCAUCACUUGAUCACCAAACUUUUGUUGUGGCCAAAAGGGUCACCAAACUUAAAAAAAUGUGCCAGCCAAUUCAUUUUUCAAUUUUUAUCGGUGAAUCAACUAGUUACAAGGGCCUCAAGUUGGACAAAUAUUCUGAUAUGGAUAAAAACAUCCAAAAGGGUAUUGAGACAAGCGAACCCAUGGAUUGUUUUAUUCCUAAAGUUGACCAAUCGACCGAGAUUGUCAUCAUCUUCUUCAAUGAAGUAUAUUGAUUGUGAACACCUCUAAACCAAAUCGAAGUAGCAAACAACGAGUUUAACAGCCAAAUCAUCUCACCAACUUCAAUAACCAAGGAAAUUGUGAAGCUAGUGAUUUCAAUGGACUAGGUCAAGCGAUAGAGGGAUCAGUAUGCUGACCUGUACACGAUGUAUGGUAAAUUCUUGUAAAAUCUAUUUUGCUGAAGAAGAUUCUUGCUAAAAGAUAGUGUAAAGUCUUUGAAUAUUUAACAUGAAAUGGAAAGAUGUCAAAAAAGUUAAGCGGUGGAGUUUAUGAUUUUAUGGUUUAAUGGAUUUUUUUAUGUAGCACAAGGGGCAUGAAAGGGACAUGAGAGCAUUGUGAGAACCCUGAAAAUGCGUAUAAAUAAUAUUUCGUAUAUCAUUUGCACUUCUUUAUUCUUUAAUAAUUCCUAGUACUAUUUUUACUUGGUUGCAAUUAAGUACGUAAAGACACGUAUAUGCGAAAUUUAUAUAAUUUUUCUAAGUUAUGAAUUCCUUGGUUUCGCUAAACUAAGUUAAGAUUUUUAGAGCUAGAUUAAAUCUUUUUCGUAUUCACAUAAAACGUUAGGUUUAUAUAUAUUGGUCAAACUUGAUUUUAAUAAGUUUAAUUAAUCAAACAAGAAUGUUAAGCGUUAAAGGAGGCUUAAUAUUAAUUUGUAAACAAUAAAUUCUAGAUCAAAAUAAUACAAAUACUCUAACCAUAUUUAGGACAUAAAAUUUCGACAACCAAAGUAUUGCAUGAUUAGCGAUUCAAUUAGGCGUUCAAAUCACUUUUGGGGACAAUUUUUGGGGCUAAGUUUAAACCAAGGACUUAAGUGGCUAAUUGGAGAGGUAGUGAAAAAUCUAAAAUACCCUCACAGCUUCACAACAUCACCCACGGCCAUGACCAUUUUCUGCAAAGCCAAACAGCUCCCCGGACACCAUGAUCACAAGCCACCCAAUUCGGCCAACCACAACCUUCACCACUGCCGUACACAAGUUCUGCUAAACACUCAACCUCCUCACCUAAAUACCGCAGCAGCACCAUCCUUCACAACCCCAUUCUGUCUUGGAUCAACGACACAAGAGUGAGGGAGAGACUUACCUCGUGAGUAUCGACCGAGAGUGAGUGAGAAGCCGAGCUGCAACCUCUUCCAUUGCUGUUCGUGAGCCAAAAGAAAGAAAGGGGAAAGCUAGUGGAAGUCGUAGGAGUUGCUGACCAUCAUCAUCUUCGACCAACAACCACCAGCUGCAACCAGAUUCUGCUGCGUGAGUGAGAGCCGAGAGGAAGAAACUUUCCAAAUUUUCUGUCCGAGAUUUGAGUAGCUGUGAGGUGAUUUCUGAGCUCCAUUUAAAUUGGUUAUAAGGUUGAUUAAGCUUUUCAGUGGUCGAGUGAGCAGGGAUUAGCUAGGAAAAUUUUAAUGGACUUAAAAUCUGGUCACCUUUAAUCUACCGUGGAUGAUCGACUAAGUUCUGGAAAAUCCUGGCUGAAAGAUGUUGUUAUUGGAAUCGAUUUCUAAACUAAAAAUGUUAAUCAGAGGCUAAGCUGUUGCAUGUUGAACUUGAGCAUCCAACUCCACGGAUAAUCCAAAGUAAAACUAGAAUCCAAACUACUGGAAUUUGUUUUUUGAUUAUGCAGACUGCCGAGGAUUGAUUUGGCAAUGCAGCUUCACUUGGCUCCAGUUUGUUGCUCUGGAACUUGUAGUUAUGAUUAUCUAAUAGGGGAUGAAGUUAUUUAUCGAUUUGCAUGUUGACUGGGUGCGAAUAGAUGAUGAAAUAAAAUUUGGGAAAUUUCUGGUUUAAGGAAAACAGAAUGUUCGUGGGCUGAAUUUGAUAAUGCAACUUUAAUCUGCUAAACUGUCAUAAACCGAGCUUGUGUUGGGAAUUAAUGAACUAAUUAUUAGCUAAUGAAACUGUUUACCACUUUGCAUGUCCAUGUUAGAUCCUCGGAUAAUGAAUUUAGGAAGAAAGAAAUUCUGUUUUGAGGAGAAUGAUUCUGCCGAGAAUAAUUUGGAAAUGAUUUGUUUAACUUACUCAAUCGUGAUAAGCUGUGGUUAUAACCCUGAGUUUUCAAGUGUAGAUAAAAUGCCUAAGGGCCUGCAUGUUGAGUUGCAGGAGUGGAUAAUGAAAUUGGGAACUUGGGAAAAAAAUUCUGGUUUAAGUGAAUUGGGAAUUCGUAUGACCUGAAAUUUCCGAGACCUGGAAUUGGACUUUUAGUUCUCAAUCUGUGAUUAUGGGGCUUUUACGAGUUAGUGUAUAUGAUUAACUAGUUAACAACAUGUUAAUUGAAGUUUGCAUAAGGUUUUGUAGCUUGACUAACCAGGAAAAUAAAAAUGAAGGCAGAAAAAUUGUUUCAUGAACUAUCAUCCGAGCUUAGUUGAUAUAAAUUCUGGAUUUGUGAUUAGAUGAGUACAAUUGUGGUAUGAACUUGGAUUUGAUUUGGAAACCUCUACUAGCUAGCUACGUGUUUUCUAGUCCUAAUAGAGUACCAAAUUCUGUUUUUAACCAAAGAAAAUUCUGUUUUGGAACCCUUGUUAUUGCUGGAAUUUAUUUGUGAAUUGCCGUUAACUUGAACCUGGAAAUUUUGAAGUUUAUGACAGUGGUUUAACUUCAACUAAUGAACGGAAAUUGUGCAUCGUUUAGCUAAGUGAUUGCAUGAGGAAGUGAGGAUUUAAUAGCCUACUUCACCUGAGUAAAUAAAGUGAAAACAGAAAAUUCUUUUAUACAAGAUUCAUCCGUGGCUUGCUAGAUAGAGUCUUGAAUUGUUUUGGGGAUGUUAGGAAUUCGAAAUGCAUGACUAAAUGCACAAGUAGCCUGUAAAUCUGUUUGGCAAUAAAUCAUUGGAUAUCUUGGGAAUCCAAUUUUUGAAAAUAAGUAAAGUGUAGCUUUGGAUAAGCUGGAAAAUUUUCCAGCCUCGGUCAUGAUUGAUAAAGAAUUAUGGAUGGAAUUUCUUGGCUUUGGACCAAAUACUUGAGUAGGAGGCUGCUGCAAAUGUGGUCUUUGGUUUUAAAUAACUGUUAGUAGAUUUAAAUACUUGAAAUAUUAGCUUGGUUGUCACAUGAAUUACUGGUUGGGUGCUGGGGGCUAAUGAUUGAUGAAGCCCUUGGCCAUUUAAAUGAUUUUAUAAAGUAUUACUGGAUGAUGGAAGUUAGAUUGCUAGAAUGUCUUUGGGACUUCACUUUUAUUUGACUUGCUUAUAUUGGGUUUGCUGAAACCAAGUGCUAAUGAUUGAUGAAGCCUUGGUUGACUAUUUUAUUUUAUUCGGAAGUGCAAUUGUUGAAAACUAGGGCUAAUGAUUGACGAAGCCCUAGUAACUUGCUAUGUGAUUUUUGCCAUAUUUUGAUCUAUAUUGUGAUUUCGAAACGGAUUUGGAGCGGGGAAAAUUUGUAUCGACCUUGCGAACUCGAGUAGCUGUGAUCAAAAUUAAUCAAAAAUAUUUUCCAGCUAGUAUUAUAUUAUAAAACUCCAUAUCUAGUGUUUUGCCUAAAACUUUCCAACUCGAUAAUUUCCUUUAGCUCAAACUAGCCUUGAUAGCUAUAGUAAAUAAGUUCUAUAGCUUUUGAAAACUCUAAGUCUUAUUUUAAUUCCUUUUCUUUCCUUAAGCUUUGCACUUGGAUAGUUAACUAUAGGAAAAGUUCCAAAAAUACGAGCUUUACUAAGUUUAGUGAAAAGCUUGGGAAACUUGCUCGGCAAGAAACCCUAUUUCAGGAAAAAUAGUUUUUAAGGAUAAUUUUUGCAAAAGCCGUAACUUUAAAGAAAUGUUCAAAGUAACAUUCUAACUUCGAUAUUGAGAAGUUUGUCGACUCGUUUCUAGUAAGUAAUACUAGUUACCCUCUUCUAAGGAUAAAAAUAAAGAACAUUUCUACUACCUUUGUCAAACUUCGAUCUAAAUAGAUUUUUGAAAUCUCUUGAGAAAGUAAACUAAUACUAUAUUAAAUAAACUCUUAUACGAAUAAGUUUAAAAACUGAAUAGAAACUUAUAGUUUCAAAAUUUGGUUUUUAGGAUAUCGCGAGGACGCGGAAUUCGAUUCCCAACCUGAUAUCUGAACUCCACUCUUGGUGAGUGUCCCUGCCUGUUCUAUGCUUACUUGGUUAAAGUGCUUUCUUGACUCGAUAUGUGAUAAUUUGCAAAACUAGUUUUUGAUCCAUCGAAGUGAGCAGUGUAUACUUUAUCACACUAGCCGUUCGAGUGGUGACUUGUGUGAAGUGUUUUUCGUGAAUAUUUUGCUUGCGCUUGCUAUAAGUGCUGGACGUAAUGUCGUUGGGUGAAUUCCUCGAUCAGUCUAUAACAAUCAAGUGCUGGACGUAAUGUCGUUGGGUGAAUCCCUCGAUCAGUCUAUAACAAUCAAGUGCUGGACGUAAAGUCGUUGGGUGAAUCCCUUGAUCAGUCUAUAACAAUCAAGUGCUGGACGUAAAGUCGGUGGGUGAAUCCCUCGAUCAGUCUAUAACAAUCAAGUGCUAGACGUAAUGUCGUUGGGUGAAUCCCUCGACCAGUCUAUAAAUAUAAGUGUUGGAUGUAAUGUCGUUGGGAGAAUCCCUCGACCAGUCUAAGGUAUACUCAAAUAUUAUUGCUUCCCUAUUUAUUUACUUCAGUCGAAUCAAUACGUGUUAAUUGUUUCGAGUGAUUGCAUGAUUUUGGGGCACCACUGAGCUUUAGCUCACACCACGUUUAUUUGUUUUCCUUGACAGGUCUUGAGGUUUGAGAAAUCUGAGCUGCUUAUAUCUUCUUAAGAAUGUAUCUACUUCGUUUUGUGGCUUGUAAUGUAUUUGAAUUAAACGAUAUAGUUUUGUUUUGGGAUUGCCACUUGAAGCUGGAAAAGUGUAAACCCUGAUUAUAAUAUUUGGCUUGUAUGUGUAUAUAUACUCGGGCUGUAUGAAAUUUUAUGUUUUGGAAACUGUAAGACUUUACUUCUUGAAUGUAAUGCGUGAGGUGUUUAGGAGCCGCCAAUUGGCUAACUUCGGAUGCUGUUAUCUUUGACGAUAAUGUGUUUUAGUAUUCAAGCCGCUUAAAAGUUGGCAUGUUCGGAUGGCGAAUUGUGUUUUGGUUUAAGUUAUACGUGGAUAUUUGGUCGGUUCGCUUGCGUGAGUCCUGGCGAGAGCUAGGCAGGCGACCCGCCAACCCUCUGGUUCGCCUUAGGGAGAAGUGGGGUCGUCACAAGCAUGGUCCUCACUUUUGCCAUUAUAAUAGGUUACAAGGGGUCUUACAUUCACAUGUCCUUAAGCUAAAUUAAUUAGGCAAAAAAAAUACAAAUUUUGUUGCAUUCAUUGACUAAUGGAUGUGUAAUAUUGCUAUUUCUUGUGGUGAAGAAUUGAACCUACAAUUUAGACUAAAAGUUAGUAUCAAAUGAUAGUUUUAUUAUCAAAAUAUUGGAUAUAAAUCAAUUAACAAUACCUGCCACUGUUUGGUUUAUUAAUGCAGAGCAUGGAUGCUCAUUAUUUUCAAUUAAGAUAUAGCAUGGUGGUAAAAUUCAAGAGAAUAAACAUAAGAUCUAUGUUGGUGGGAGAUAAACUAUUUUGAUCUCUGUGAUAGGGAUAGGAUGUCAAUGCAUAAGAUUAAUGCCAUGGUGAAAAAGUGUGGCGACAACAAUGAAGUCAUAUUCUACUAUUAUCUUGAUCCGAGAAGUGAUAUCAAUCAUGGAUUGAAGGAAAUCCAAAAUGAUGAGCAUAUUAGAGAGUUUUGUAGUUGGAUGGAGCAGUUCAAGUUGAUGGAAGUAAUAUGUGACCAUGUGCCACAAGAAGAGGUGUUAAAAAUUCAAACCAAGACCAUCGUAAAGCCACCACAUGUACACAAGUCUAGAGUGAUAAUACAGGAAAUUGAUGAUAGGGAGCAAGGUCAAAUAGUCCAUGCAUAUAGUAGUAAAUUUGCUAAAAUUACACAAUCUAUUAAGAAGAAUGGUUACAUCUCGCGAUCAUUUGCUACUUUAGAGUGGAAAGAUAACAUUGUACAAAAAGAAGCAAUGCAUGGAGCUACUAGGGAAGGUGAUAUAUCUACAAUUGUAGUAGACUUCUACUCAAGUUUUGAAGAUGGUGAACAUGUUUCCUCUAAGGCAAUUCGAAAUGAGGCAGAAGGAGAUGAAUGUGAUGGUAAUGAAACAUGUGAUGGGAGGGAAUUUCAACAUUACACAGAUUAUUGUAGAGAUGAUGAAAUGUAUGAAAAACAAACUAGCUAGCAGCCUCCAACUAAGCGUGAUGGACCACAAGAAAGUCAGGCUGAUUCAACUCAGCAUGCGGAAACUUGGGAAAUGCUAGAGAGUGAAAUUGACAUUGGCAAAAGCGCAAGUAAAAGGCAGCCAUGUGAACAAACCCCAAGCCAGGUGGGAACUCAAGCAUCAAAAAGUUCACAUUUGAGGAGAAUUUCCAACAACAUAAUAAUAUUGCUGCUCAACAUCAUUUUUUGAAGGUGCACAACAAUCAAUGCAAGUGACCAAUAUUGUUGUAGAAGGUGACAAUAAUAAUUUCACAGAAAUGUUGAUGAUGACUGCCAGUACAACUGCUAAGAGGCAAAUCAGAAAGCACAACACCUUGUUAGCUAUCAAUCUUUGUAACCGUUUUUAAUUUCAAUUGUAAUUGUAGCUCUUGCAAUAGCUAAGUGAAAUGUUGUCUGGUAUUUUUUUCAAGUCGGGCGACUUCGACUAGAUGCUGCCACUACAACAAGAAGUCAAAAAGGCCCUCAGCUGGUUGCAUCCACUAUCAAUACAUAAAAGAUAGUGGUCCAGAAUAAGAGGAAAUUGAUUGAUGUCGAAAAGGGCACGACCAAUGCCAACUAUGCAUAUUUGGCCAAAGAACCACCAUUCAAGGUUUGGAAUUGGGUAGGAAAAUCAUUUGGGAGAGGACGCUCAACUUAAUGAUGAAAUGCUAAACAGUUUUUUGUAGUAUUUUUGAUGUACUAAACCAUGUGAUAGCUUUUUGUUGACAUUUUGUAAGAGUCAUACAUGCCUUUUAUCCACCAAUUUUAAGACAAGCAAUUCUAUGAUCCAAUGCAAUGACUCUUUUAUUGGCCAUAACUUAAUCACUCGAAUGGCCUAUUUGUCUUAUCAGAUUAAUUGAUUGAUCAACUACAUAACUCAUAAUUAACAUUUUUAAAGAUCCAAAUUUAACAUAAUUUGGAAGAUUCGUAAAGUACUAUUACAUUCUACACACCAAUAGUCCAAACUACCUUCCUUCUAAAAACUAGUAAUAUACAACAUUCCUUCUACACACCAGUAAUUUGCAACCUUCUAGAAUUUGGCAUUGCUAGCUUAUGCAUCCAUAUUAACCAUAAUGUAACAACCCUCCAAAUCUCGACAACAAUCUUUGCUAGCUUCCUUGUCCUUUGCUUUUUCCGAGUUGCUUCUUUAGUGAUUUUAUCUCCAAUGCCAUCUCAUUUGCUUUACUUUGCCGUCGCAAAUCCUCCUCUUGCAGAGCUUCAUUCUCAGCUUCUAAUCUAUUCUUACUUCUUAAGAAACUAGGUAUUACUUGCUUAGCCCUCUUCCAAAUUUUUUCAUCAUACCAAUCCCAAUAUCCACACCCUCCAACUUGCAACAAAUUUUUGCAUUUUAUCCAUCUUGUAAUAACACAAAUAUCCAUAUCCUUCAUUAUCCUACCAGAUCAUGAGCACACUCAAUAUGUCUUCACGUUGGAUAUUUUUUCUAUCCAUGAAGUCUUCCAAAUGGUUCUAUUUCUGCACUUGCAAAAUCGAAUUAGUUUAUUGCAUCUUGCCAUGCUUCAUUGGAGAGGAUUGAAUGGAAGGAGAUUUUCCCUUGAAUAGAUGAAAGAAGGAAUCAAUGAACUUGUAGAUCUAAGGGCACGGCUUGCGAGGAAGAAAUAGGUUUGCUAUAUUUUUUUGGAUAUUUUUGCCCCCUUACAAAUAUUCCUGCACACAACAUAGCCAUGUAACCAAAUGAUUCACGGGUAAACACUGACAAAUGACUCGGCUAGCAAGUUUGUUUAAAGUUUAGUGACCUUUUUGGCCACAAAAGUUUGGUGAUCAAGCAAUGUCAUUUGUAAUAGUUUAGUGACCAUUUUGGCCAUUCAUUCUUAUAUUAAAUUCAGUUAUAGCUUUUCUCAAAACUUCGUCUUCCUUGAAACUUACACCUGCAGACUACACUGGUCUUGCAUAGACAAUGUAUCAAAAUCAAAACUCUGGUCCAGCAAGCAAAGAGAUCACAUAUUCAUAGACCCCUUUGGCUGCAAAACUUAAUUUCCAUCUAACCUUUUAUAUAUUAUUUCCUUUUCUAAACCAAUAAUCAUUCACCUCAAUUUAGUAUUAGUGUAAUAGCAGCUAAAAAUAAAAUAAUGGGAUGUCAAAAAUCAAUAGUUUGAAAUAUUGAUAUUGUUAACACAAAAAAUCAAGCAGCGGAAGUAACAUUAAAAUCUCAAAAAUAAUAAACAAUAAGAAAUGCACGGGAGGAAACAAAAAAUUCUGUUUCAAUUCAUUAAUUUCCCUCAAUUGCAAACUUAGGACUCCAAGUUCUUAAAUAGAGAAACAUAACUACAAAUCCUAUUCUAAUUAUAAUACCAAAACAUGACUCAACCCUAUUUCCUAAACCAACUAUGAUACCAAAUCUAAUCUAGUUACCAAAUAACAAAUCAACUUCUAAAGCUAUUAAAAUUUUAAAUAGCUUGGUUUAAUUUUUUGUCAACCUUGCCUCCCUUAAAUCGAGCUCUUUAUGUAAUCAGGUCCGAUGCCAUCACGAGUUUGAAUUGCCUUUGCAGCAUCUGUAGCAGUAUAGUUCACAUGCAAUUCCAAUUUAAUUUUUAUCUCCAUCUUCACCAAUGGGAGUGGGACAUGCAUGUACUUUGCACACAAUUCAACAACCAAUUUUGCUUCCAAAAAUUCAUCCAUAGUAAACCAUUGACUAUUAGUGCCUCCAAGUUUUCUUGGAUAAAAAUAAUUCACACUAUUUUCAACCAAUAAAUCAUGCUUUUGUUUUUGUCAAUAAUUUUCAAUUCUAUGAUUGCAAGUGAAUUCAUCCAUCCCACAAGUACCAACAAUUUCUUUAAUAUUCUCAUCCACAACAAAAUUAAUGCAUUCACUGACAAGUUCUUCUUCAUCAAUCAUCUCAAAACAAAGUAUGCAAAUCAUAAUUUUCAACCAUAUCAAAAUUUUCAAAAGUCUUUUUAUCAUCAACAAACACAUUCACUUCCAAAUUAACUUCGCAUUCCAAACCAAUUUUUGACUUAUGAUUAGAUUCAUAUGGAAAUUCUAUCACCAAAAUAUAAAAGAGAUCUAAUCAAGACUAUUGAGGAGAUUGAGAAGAGAUGAUAAGCCUCUUAUAAUACUCUCAACCAUUGAUUUUUGCAUUAUUUUGAAAAAUAAUCUGACCUUCCUUCUCAUAAUUUCUUUUGAUGGACCAUUAUUUAAAUUGAUUUCAAGAAAUUCACCGAAACCGCACCUUGUAAUAUACUUGUGCAUUAUUCUUAACCAUUUAGAUCUUUCUUUAUUACCACUAAGUGUGUGUAAAACUUUAAAUUUUUCACCAUUUAUAAACUCUCUCUCCAUGGCAACCCAAAAUAAUUUACGUACCUUGAUAGAUAUUUUUUUUCUUCCUUGCUUGAAAUUCUUGGCCUCCCUGGUUUCAGGUUUGAUCAACUCCAUUGUAACAAUCAACAAUUUGGCAGGACCAUUUUUUUUAAGAUCAUUGCAAAACAUCAAUAAUCACGACAAAGUCCCUCUUUUUUUGUUGGAAAGUCAAUUAAUUUGGAGGCAAAAUCUAAGACUUUUUUCUACAAAUAUGCAUUAUUUGCUAUGAAACUAAGUAUCUUUUCUACAAAAAUGCAUUAUUUGAUACGAAACUAAGGACCUUUGCACACAUAUAAUUUCAUCACCAAAAGUAAUCUUUUGGACUGCGAAAAAGAGAAUAAUAUGAAAUAGUUGAACUUUUGGCUACGAUUUCAAAAAAUCGUUGCCUAAUAUUUGUGAUGUGGAUUUUACGAUGAUUUUGGCGAUGAUAAGUUUUUGUAGUUAGUUAUUAAGGAUGAUGGUUUUUGGCUCUUUGGCUGUAAUGUUUUGUUGUUUAUCACACUCAACAACUAAUAGUAAAGCUCCAAAUUACACUGUAGGCCUUAUUGAUUCCACAUAAGAUGCAUCCUUCCAUUAAUUAAUACAAAAAAGAUCUCAUUAAUCUGGAUAAUUAUGUGGCCCACAAAUCAAGUGGAUCCCCAUCUUUUUUCUUCAUCUUCACAAAGAUCUCUCGUCUAGAAAUUCUCUUUCAACUCAAUUAAUUUCGAAACUAGUCUUAAUUUGUUCUUCAAAUUUUCGUUGUCAAAAACAUUAUAACUACAUUCUCCCAAAUUGAAAUUGAGGAGGUAUAUAAUGGGUAUAGAAAGCUUGGAAAGAAACCUAAUAAGCAUCAGGCAGUUGAUUGAUGUUAGUAGUAAUGUUAGUUGUACAAUUAACAUCAACUUUGAUAAUUCAACUUAGAUCAUCUAUUUGGCUAGGUAUAAUUAGUUAUUGAGCAAUUACUAAGCAUGAUUAGUAGUUGCUCAAUGACCAUAACAACACUUAUUGUGAAACCUACAAAAUAACUUUUGGAAUUUGCAUUUGAGCUUAAAAUUUUCACAAUAGUAAGUUAGAAAGUGCCUUGCUAAAGAAAUUUUCUAGUUUUGGAUGGAUCCGGAGCCUGACAAGUUCCAUUUUAUUCUAUUUUGGAGUAAACUGAUCAUUUCAAGAUUUGUUGCACCAAACUUUAACUUAGUUACAUCAUAUCUAAACUUUGUUACACUAUUUUUCAAUUCAGUUACAUUCAAGAGCAAACUUGUGUGAAAUUGAACUUGUGAUGCUCUAGUCGCUUGCCACUAAGCACGGGCAAAAAUUGGAUGCAACUAUUAGCAUUCAUGAUUCAAAAACUUGUCCGAAUUGGAGAUGACUCAGAUGAGUCAUCAUGGGAAUGGUGUUUGGCGUUCCACGAUCACGCCGUUAUAAAUUGGAGAUGCAAGAACCAGCAAUAACUCGUUCAAACUCAGUGAACUCAAACUGAGUCAACUUGGAGAAUGAAGGAAGUGGCCUAUUUCAGCUUAGCACUAAAUGAUUAAAUUUGCUUUGUUUCAUCCUAAAUUGAAGAAAUGACGAUGACUAUUUUCCAAAAUCAUCCCCAAAUCAUUGUAAUUUUACAAAAAAAAAAUUGGAAAUGAAACAACCAAAGGAUUAGAGAAGAGGAAGAGAUCAAGAGACUAGAAGGGAGAGAUUUAUAGAAAAGCAAAGGAAAUCAGAGGAAGAUUGAGGAAGUGAGGAGGAGAAGAGAAGGAGGAGGAGGAGAAGAGAAGGAGAGAUUGGCAUGGGUUACUACUUAGCACAUGCAAUAAUAGAAAAGGAUUUCUCACAUGGAGACGAUAUAGUUUAGAUAAAAGACUUAGACCACAUUUUUAGGGAUAUAAAACUGUACUCUUAAACCCUUGGAAUUCUCAAAUUUCCUAAAUUUUCUUUUUUUGGCUACAAAAUUGCCUUUGUCUAUUUAUUCUUCUAAAAUUAUAAUUGAUGCCUAAUGGAAUUAAUAGUUCCAUAAUUUUUUAAACUUGAUUUCAGGCUUUCCAACAAUGUGAUUGUUAAUUUCACUCAUAAUAUGGUUGGUAAUGUAAAUUUCUUUUUGCUUUUGCAUAUUUAUUUCUUUUAUUUUUUGCUAUGACGGAUCGAGGAAAUGAUAAUGGUAUUUGUCAAUAUGUGAAUCUAAAAGUGUCAAAAUUUUAAUACUUAAUAUACAAGUUUAACUAUGAUAUUGUUUGAAAUGAAUAGGAAGGUCUUUUUCUCUUUAUAUAAUGCAUUUGGACUAGACAAAAAUAGAAGGAAUAUUUGAAAAGUUUGGUACACUACACUUGUGAAACCAUUUUUAAUCACAAUUCCAUUUGGUCUUGGUGAAGAAUAACAAAAUUCUUGCUAUAGUUUCUAUAAAAUUCUCUCAUUUACGCAAUGAAGUUUUAUAUAGUAAUUAAUAUUUUAAGCAUGUUUUUACUAGCACUUCUAGUGCAUAAGAAUAGAUGACUAUAUUGUUUAGAAUAAUUACUCCCUCCGUUCUAUUGAAAGUGUCAUACUUUUCUUUUUUGGCUAUUCCAAAAUAUUUGUCAUGUUUGACAUUUAUAACUACUUUAUACUCUAAAAUUCCCCUUAUGCCCUUUAUUAAUGAUGCAUAAAGACAGAUAUGAUGUGAUUACUUUUUACUUUUUAUUUUGACCAGCACAUGAUUAAGGGUAAAAGUGGAACAAAAGAAAAAACUUUUUAUAGAGUGUACUAUGCAUAAAAAGUAUAUAUUCCCAAACAUGACUAAAUAUAUGGGAUGGAGAGAGUAUUUCAAGUGACAUUUAUAUUGUACUAAUGCUUAAGAGAAAUUUGGAGAUAUAUAAUGUAUAUUUUUUAUUUACUUACUUGUUAAAGGUUUUAAUGUCAAUGUAUAUAAAAACCAUGACUAUUUUCUUUUACAUGAUUCUAUAUAUUUUUUAUAAUUUUUUUAUGAAUUUCAAAAUACUAGAUUUACGAAAAUAUGCAUUUCAUCGAAACCGUGAUCAUUACAACGUGGUUGAUGUGAAACGGUGACAACCUCACCUUAGAACUAGACCUUGAACCAUGCUAGCAUUAAUUAUAUGGCUGCCCUACUACUACAGCAUUAAAAAAUACCUAACUGGCUGCCCUACCAUUACAGCUUUAAAAGUACCAUUACAGCUUUAAAAGGUGCCUAUAUGGCUGCCCUACUAUUACAGCUUUAAAAUAUUUUUAAUGGCAUCGGAGAUUGCAGGAUAGAAUUUCAGAUCAUCAAGCUCUAAGUUGCGUAGUAGCCAACAGCCUCUUUGGCGUUGGUAGUUCCAAGACAUUUAAGUCUCGGUAAGGGUGGGAGGUCAAGGGUUCAAUCCUUGCUUUUCACCUUAUCACUUAAUUGUAAUUUUCUCCGACGGAAAAAUUUCGUUGGUUCUCUCUCCUCUUAGACUAGACUAGAGUAGGUUAUACAAAUAUUAUCGUUGCGACAAAAAAAAAACUCUAAGUUGCAUAGCGAUGUUGAUGACUGCGUGAAGUUAAAACCUAUUAGAUGGUUGCUUUUCAAGGACUAGCAGGAUAUGAUGCUUCUGUGUGGUACGGACUUAAAAUAAUCCUCCUUUGGGGUGCCCUGAUGCUUCAAACCUGAAAAAAAUGGCAGAAUGGGGUGCCUUGUUGCUCCAAAUUUGUAAACAUUUGCCGAAGUUCAAAUGGUUAUGUGUGCUGUCUAGGGUUGGAAACGAAUCAAACCGCUCGCGAGCUGCUUGAGUCAAAGCUCGAUUCGAAUUCGGUCAACAUCGAGAUCGAGUCGAACUCGAGUUGGCUAAAUCAAACUCGAGUUCAAAAAUAUUAAAUCGGCUCGCGAGUUCGAGUAUAUAUAUAUUGUUUAUUUUUUAUUUUAAUAGUAAAAUUACAUAUAUUAUUCCUAAUAUUUUAUUAUUUAUUAAGAAAAAAUAUUAAACUCGAAUUCGAGGUCGAACUCGAGCUUUAGAUUGGUAGCUUGUCCAACUUGUGUUUGAGUUCGAAAUUGAUAAAACUAAGUCAAGGCUUGGCUCGACUCGACCAAAACUCAACUCGAGUCUAUUCGUUUGCAGUCUGAGUGCCAUCAAUCGAGCUCAAGUAGUACCAUGCUCGAGGUCGAGUUUGAGUUCGAUCACUACAAAUGCUACUCGAGUUCAUGCUCAAACUCAAAUGAGUACAUGAUACUGAAUUCAAACUCGACUCCACGUAAUCAAAAUUAAACUCAAGGUCAACUAUUUUGAGGUCGAGUAAACUACAAGCCUUGUCAAGUUUGAACUCGAGUUUUACUAAACAUUAAUUCAUGUAAAUUUAUUAAAAUAUGAAUCCAUAAUAGUCAUUCUAUAAUGAAAAUAUAUAAUAUAUAUAAAUAAUACAAAUACUUGAUUAAGUUUGUCAAGCACUUAAAUAGUAAUUAUUGAUACUCGGACUCGACUUGUUGCACGGUAUAAAUAGUUCGAACUCGAAUUCGAACACGGUUUGACUGAUUUUGAGCCGAGUGUUUCACCAAGCCAUUCACAAGUUACUAGCAAGCGGUUUAGCUCGCCAACACCCCUAGUCAAGAAAGGUAUUUAGGACCUAAUAAGUUAUGUCUUACACAAAUUUGUUCCUAAUAUAAAUUAGUAAGAUUUUGGUGUAAAUCAUUUGAGAUAUUCAAAGUUAGAGUUUGUGCAAAAAUUUGAAUUUGAAUGUAAAUCAAGUACUAUUGAUUAAUCAUUAUUUGGUGUAACUAUUUUCAAUUACACUGCAAAUUACUAAUUUAUCCUCAAAUUACUCACUAUGGAACUUGUGAGGCCCCGCCCGCUUCUAAAGGGUGUGGGUUAUUCGGUCUCUUAAUGAUAUGAAUUAAAAAAAUAGCAUGGCACACAAGUUUUGACUUCCAAUCUUGCCAAAUGUCAUUUCAGUGACAUCUUAUCUUACAUAAUACUUAGAGGAAUUUCAUGCCAAGUCCAAAAUUACUAACAUACAUUUUUGCCGCUUACACAAACUUCAUGCAAAUCGACAACAUCUGAGUUAGGUAUAUUUUGCCGCUUAUAGAAAUAUAUAUACAUAGCAAAGGUUCUAACACUUCUUCCAAGCUAGCUAGUGCCAAGUUAUUGAGCCAUGGCAUUAUUCAGUUCCAACGCUUUUAAUUCUCUUGUCUUGAUGCUUUACUUGUCCAUCAUCCUUAUCCUUCUUCCUCUCUCUUUUGCCAGCAAUAAGUGGGGAAUUCCACAGUCAGAUGUCGAUCUCUUGGAAUUUCCACUGAAUUUGGAGUACUUGGAAGCUGAGUUCUUCUUAUGGGGUACUCUGGGCUACGGAUUGGACAACGUAGCUCCUGAGCUAACUGGAAACGGUCCAGAGCCUAUUGGUGCUAAGAUUGCCAAACUGAGUCCUUUCGUUAGAGAUGUUGUUGCCCAAUUCGCAUUCCAAGAAGUUGGACAUCUGAGGUAAUUUAAUUACUAGUUAAUCAGUUCAUAAAAAAUUCUUGAAUCAUGUAUUUUUUCUUCAUUUAGUCCAGUGGAGAGGGAAAUAAUAUAAAAGGUUUCGUCUCUGAGAACCAUCAUCAAUCAUUUGGACAGAUCUUGAUAAAUUUUGUACUUGAAACAGGGCAAUUAAAAGUACCGUGCCUGGAUUUCCAAGGCCUCUGCUGAACAUAAGCUCAGAAUCAUUUGCAACUGUGAUUAACAGUGCAUUCGGGAGAACCUUGGAGCCACCUUUUGAUCCUUAUGCUAAUGACAUCAACUAUCUCAUUGCAUCCUAUGUUAUUCCUUAUGUUGGACUCACUGGUUAUGUCGGAGCAAAUCCAAACCUCCAAAGUCCUGCUGCGAAAAGAGUAUGUUACAAAAUUACAACAAUCUAAGCAUAUUUUUUCCCUUCUUUGUUUAUAUUUUAAUGACAACAUUAACCCGAAAGAGCUUAGAAACUUCAGUUUUAUACCCGAUUAAGACCUAACCAACUAAAAGUAAUGUUUUACCACUUGGUAUCUAGUACUUCGAGUUUGCAUGAUUCGGUACCGCUUUCAGGGCCAGCACCGAAACAAUGGUUUACCCCUAAAUUACUUUUUUUCUCGUACAAUUUUGAUACUUUUUGUUUGUAAGAUUACAAUCUCUGAGACAAGAUCUGUCUAUAAGAUUACAAUCUCUAGACAAGAUCUUUUUAUAAGAUUACAAUUGUGGGAUUAUGUUACAAUUUUUUUUUUGUGUGGUGCAUUGAUUAAUUUCAGCUAGUAGCGGGGCUUCUCGGUGUGGAAUCAGGCCAAGAUGCAGUGAUUAGAGCAUUACUAUUCGAGCAGGCAUAUGUGAAGGUAAGGCCAUAUGGGAUAACAGUGGCAGAAUUCACUGACCGUAUAUCAUACCUAAGGAACAAACUCGGACAUGCGGGGCUGAAAGAUGAAGGGAUAGUGGUGAAGCCAAGUGAAGGUGCAGAAGGAGGAAUUUCGGGCAAUGUUCUUGCUGGUGACAAAGACUCCCUUUCAUUUGGUCGAACACCAGAGGAAAUUCUACGAAUUGUGUAUGGAAGUGGGAAUGAGAGUAAACCUGGUGGAUUUUACCCCAAAGGAGCUGAAGGUCGAAU